CGCCUCGCCGCCGUUCCCCGCAACCCCCUGUCUGUCGACCCAAUUCAUCUCAGGGAUAUCACCCGACGCCUCGUCCUCCUCUCCAGAUCAGAUCUUACGCCCGCCCGCCCGAGGUGAGCACAUGCUUGUACAUCCCGAUCAGCUUGGAGUUCGUUCCGAUUGGUUGGUAGGCGCGGCGCUGGUUCGAGGCCAGCGUGGUCUCCCUCCUCCUCCGGAGUUGCUCGGGCGCGGCGCGGGUUCAUAGGUGUCGGAUCCAGCGCCGUCUGUAUCCUAUUCGUAUGAGGAACCUCGGCUAGGAUAGGAUUUAAUUAGUUGGUUUUUGUAUUAGGGUAACACCACCUAGGGUUCGGUUGAUUAUCCGUAAGAAGGAAUCAAUCUGACGCUUUAGUUAGGGUUUGCUUGGUUGGUUGUGGUCAGAUUUUGGUUUCUCAUGAAUUCUUCAACUGUGCCUGUCGCGAUUUUGGGCGGAAAUUGAUGAUUGAUUUCGGGGGCAAAAUCCGAGGGAUUUUGUGGAUGAAAGAUGGGGAAACUUGGGGAAACCAAGCAAAUCCAUGGAUCAAAAUAAACAAACUUCAUCAUGCCAACAAAUCACAAAAAAAAUUUGGUGGGGAAAUUUCGAAUUAGGACGAAAAACAACAAGAUCAAAGCUAGAAAACGAAUAUUAAUUUGGAUGGAAUUCAUGCUAUGUUGUUCGAUUUCAGUUUAUGCCUGCCAGAAUGUUUUAAUUUUUUGUUUUAUCAACUGUGUUGGAGCGUACUAGAUUUUUUGUUGCAUAUUCAUCUUCUUGCUCUGUUUGGAUAGGUAACAAUUAAUAUUUGGGAUCCUAAAAUAUGUAUGCACUGGCAGCACUUAACCUGCAGCUGCUGAUUAAUGUUGUAGUCAUAUGUGCUGCUUUCCAGCUCUCUUGUUUGGAUAGGUAUUUGGUUAUCGUUUGGGUUUAUUUAUUAUCGUUUGUAAAUGCUGGUUUGGUUUUCUGUGCUCACUAUGCCCUUGCACAUGGGAUGCAAUUUUUUUAUUUCCCUGCUGUUUAGUUUAUUGUUUCCUUUGAUGGUGAGGCAUUAAUUCUGGAGAUAGAUGCAAUUUUCUUGCUCACACAAUAAUACAAUGAAUGAUGGCAUCUCUAUCUACUUUGAACCAAAUUAUAUUAUAUUCCCCCCUCUGUUAAUUAUUUUUCUGUUUUGGGUAUUCAUUCAUUUUGUUUAGUUGCCUAUCAGUAUAAAUACAUGGCUGGAUUGCUUUCACUUCAUAUUAAUAACUAUUCUGUCGCACAAUGCAAAUAUACAUAUGCUGUCCUAACUAAUUAAGUAGAAGCUUGGAUUGGUGCUGUAUGGUCUCUUCCUGACAUUAAAUCCUCCUCUGUUUGUGCUGUCUGUUUCUGCUGCUGCAGUCUUCUUCGCCGCCAAAAGGAAAAGAUGCUCUACAAAAUCCACUCCCAUGCCGAAAUCCAAGCCCUGCAGGCCCGCACCGAUGAGCUGGGCCACUCCAAUGAGCACAUGGAUGUGAAGCUUGUCUCUCUGGAGUCGGUGCGCAUAGCGCGCGAGUCGUAUGCACUCCUCCGCCCGCUGAUCAUGGAGUCGAGGUCCUGGGAAUGCCCGGAGCUGGAUUCCCUCUCGGACGUGGCAGGCUUGUCGCUGGAAAUCCAAAAGCUCGAGCAUGAUGUGUUACCCCAGCUCACGGUUCAGGAGGCUAAGCUGGAACGGGGUGCCCUGGAAGCCCUCCUACUCAUGAAGAGCUCAGCAGCUAAGCUCUUACAUAUGAGUAAGUGCUUGAAGGAAGCCUUGGGCGUAUUGCUUGCCGAGGAUGUCAAAAAGCUGAGCAUAGUGCUAAGCGAUACUGCUGUUCAUGUACUCAAAGGUAAGUUCAACAGUGGCUUGCUUCAGGAGCGUGUCCCGUGGCUGGUCGAGCUGGUCACCGAUGUGUUGGAGACCCCGGUUCGUUUCUGUGAUACUCGUAAGCGUAAGUAUUCUGAUGAGUAGACUUAUCAGCCAGCUCGAGGCUGUUGUGAUAAAUAUUUCUUAGGGGCGUGGCAAACAGUUUAGAAUCAACCCUUUAUGUUUGGAUGUGUUAUUAAUGGAUUUUAAAUAAUAUGUAUCUUGGGUAGUGUUUUCUCAUUCUGUGCUAGUCGGGUACAACUUGCAAUUACUUUCAGUUUUUUUUUUGAGAAAUACAGUCACAUGGAGGUAUUCGCUCUUUUUGGGAAUAUAUGCCAAAAGAAUAUACUCCCUCCGUUCCUAAAUAUUUGCCUUUUUAAGGUUUCAAAUAGACUACCACAUACGGAUGUAUAUAGACAUGUUUUAAAGUGUAGAUUCACUCAUUUUGGUCCGUAUGUAGUCAUUUGUUGAAAUCUCUAGAAAGACAAAUAUUUAGGAACGGAGGGAGUAGUAUCUUAGAAAAGAAAUCCCAAAUAUAAGUCUUUUAAGAGGUUUCACUAAAAGACUACAUACGGAUGAAUAUAGGCAUACUUUAGAACGUGGAUGGAUUCACUCAUUUUGCUCCGUAUAUAGUUUUCUACUAGUGAAAUUUCUUAAAAGACAUAUAUUUAGGAACGGAGGGAUCUGUGAGUGUCCAUGAUUAAAGCUUUGCAAAUACCAUAAACAAAACAUCACCUUGUACAUAUAAAGUGAUGAUUAUUUUUACACUAACCGGUUUGGCAAGUGUUAGAGUUUAAUUAACGUGUGUUAAUUAUGGGGUAAAUCUCUCCUUGUAACUGCCAUCUCUCCCGGAUGCCUCUUCAUCGCAUCCCUUCUCCUUGUAUAAAUGCUUACAAUCAUCUAAUGAAAGGGAUAGAGGAUUCACUUUUCUCUCAACACGUUAUCAGCACGCUCUGGCGAGAGCAGAAGGCCACGAGAGAUUAGGCCAUCCCGGCGGUUACGGAUGUUACUUUCGUCGCCGAUGGCUUACAGGCGAUGCAACCGGAAGCGGUUCCAUUGAGCGCUCGCGGCGAGACAUCUUCCGGUGACGAGGCGAUGGAGCCCAGGUGCCGGCGCUCGACCGCAGCGUCCUCCAGCGCAUGGUUUGGUCUCACCCUCUCCUUCCCCUUCUCCCAGACGCCGUCCACAGUGGCCGCAUAAGCGGCCCUCUCCGGCACGGCCUACCGCGGCGCAUCUGCGACCCCGGCCUGCUACGCAAGGCACGGCGGCGUGGCAAGCGCCUCCCGACCGGAGACUCGACGCCUAUUGCGGGGAACAACCCGGCCUCGACCUCCCGGCGCGCGGAGCCCACAGCGGAUCGCAGAUCCUCGACAGCGGCGCACCCGCAUCUUCUACGUCGAAGACGGGCGAUGGAGGCGAGGCAGCCAGCGCCCGACGCGGCUCCCGGCAUCCACGUGGAGUUCCUGCAGCCACGGUCCUACCCGUGGUGAAGAUGGAGCGGGCUCUCCCUUCAGCUGACUGUGUGCAGCCCGCCCCCGAUGGUCGGCACAGGCCUCCUCCGGCGCGGCGAGGCCCAGAGUGCGAACGGUGUCGUUUCCACCGCCAGACUACGGCGGUGGCGACCCUCGACCUGCGCUCCUUCCUCCGGCCGGCUGGUGCGCGGCUACGCGGAGCGGGACGUCGAGUACGGCCUCGGCCCGGUCCUUCUCGCGUAGCCAUGGCCCUGCCCCUCGGCCUAGGUUGACGCGGACCUCCAUGGCACGCGGCGCGGUGCCCGUGGCGUCGUUCAGCGUACGCCGACGAACUCCGGUGCGAGGCAACUCAGCACCGCGCGCGAGGCGAAGGCAUCCAUGACUGGAUCUCCCGGAAGCGGCGGCGAUGGCUUCUGUGUAAAGCUAACCGAAUCGAUUGAUUCGUGUACUAAUUACAGGCCAACACAGGACAACGAUGGGAACCUUAUCUCUUUGAUGAAGGGUUUUUUUCACAAGUGGCUAUGUAUUUGCAUUGACCAUCAAAUCAGGCCACAGGCUGUGCAUUGGAGACCGUCAGAUAUCUCCAUAUCACAUUUACAAUAUAUGUAAAUGAUGAUUUCAGAUAUACUAUGUGAAAAUGGGACAUGUUCAUCGUAUUUGCUCUCUAUCAAUUCCUUUCAAAUAAUUCAGAUCUUAAGUUGAUGUAAUAUAUUUCCACGUUUACCACGUGUUGAGAUUAAUUACGUUCAUUUGCAAUUGAGAUUUCUCAUCUCUUGCAAAGAUAAAUUCAAUACCUCUGCAGUAUUGUUUCUCCGUUGAGUACGAUGUAUUCCGGAAUAUUUAAAACUAUGAUUGCGAUUGAGAUUAAGUUUUCUCGCACAACAAUAUUGAUUUGCGAUUGAGAAUUUUUUUUCUCGCAAAAUAAUUGCGGUUGAGAUCAAUUUUCUCUUGCAAAAUAUUAAUUCACUUCGCUGAAUUAUCUUGCAAUUUGAUACAAGAUCUCAUUUAAUUUGAGAUCUAUACAAUUCAAGUUUUUCACUUGAACAUCAAGUUUGCAACAUCAUUACUAUUCAUUAUAAUAGUGGUGUAGUUCUGUUGAGUACGAUGUAUUCCGGAAUGUAUGUAUCUCCAUGUUCACUAUAUGUUGAGAUUAAUACGUCUAUUUGCAAUUGAGAUUUUCAAUUUCUUGCAAAUACAUAUGCAAAAUUCAAGGUGAUUUCUUCAAAUUGAUGCUUUUUUUGGGAUCACAAGGUAGUCAUAUGGAUCUACUGCCUACGCAGAUUAUCAAUGACUACUGAUAAAGCCUAUAUUUUGUCGUUUCGACAUUAUGAUUGCUUCACAAAGUGCUCUCCCACCCAUUUUACUAAGUUAUGAAGUAAGGCAUCAUGAGUGAGUAUCUACUGAUUUCAUCAGGUUAUACUCCCUAUGCUGCAGAUCUACUUCAUUUUGGAGAUUAUCUUCAAGAUGUCAUACUUAGCAAUUUGAGAUUGACACUAAUGGUUUCAAGAUAACUUCUUGAAAUACCCAUUGAUUUUGCUAAGUUGAUUACAACAUCAACCACGAUGAUCUUUAAUUUACUGCUGUAAAUUAAUUAUCUUUGGUUUACCCAUAGAGGUAACACAUGGCUAUAGAGUUUGAGGCAUUCACCCUCAAUGGCCACCACUGCCCUAUCUGGGCCAUGGAUAUCAUGAUCGCUCUUGUGUCUCAUGGGAUAAUGUGUGCAAUAGUGUCUUAUAUAUCAUAAGGCAUUAGAUUCAGAUCUCAGCAUCUGCUUAUUCUGAAUCAACAAUUCCUGGAAUACAAUGAACCCCAAGGGCAAAUGUUUGAAUCUUACUUCAACCUUCAAUCCGACAUCACCAGCUGUGACGGAACCCUAUGGGCACAGAGAGUGUGAUGGUUGAAUAUGCCUCAAUCGGCAUGUUUGGAGACUAUGAAUAGUAUCUCAAUCUCCUGAGUGAUCAAUAUAAUUUAUGUCCAUUUACAAUGUUGCAACAUAAGUAUUGUUGUCAUCAUAUAUUGUAUAUCACAAUAUAUUGUAUCAGCACUUUGAUACAAAUACAUUUGUAUGCAUUCUAUAUAUUUGACAGUGAUUUUCAUAUUGAGAAUCUUCAUGUCUAUAUAUAGUUUUCUACGGGAGUCAAUCCGAUGAAAAAUGAUAUGUGCCUUGUGGACAUAUGCACCACAAACUUUAUACUCAGGGAAGCCCAAUGUUUCCACUCUCUUGAGAGAAAGGAGAUAUUUAAAUCGCUAGACGCGAUGAGGUAUUUGUUGGCUCAACUCGAGUCAUAUUUACUAUCCCUGUGGGUACUCGAGUAAUGUCGGGAUGCUUUAUUGCUUCCCAGGUUUAACUCGUACCCUACUAAACUAUGAAGGUAUCCGUCAAAAUAGUUUCCAUAGCGAAACUUAUUAUGACAACAAAGAGAAAUAACUUCUCUUUACCAUAUGCAACGGAUAUGGCAAAUACAUUCUCUGUGUAUCAUCUGGAUUGUACUACACAUACGACACAACCCGUACCACAUGUCGUGUACGUGAUAGUUUUCCAGAGUGUCUUGUACAUGACAUACUUGGCAUACUGGCCUUGGUCAUCGAGACAUUGGGUUGAAACCGAAACUAUCAGCAAUUCCAAUAGUUUACAAUUAUUAUGAUGCCAAAUUCUAACAACAUUUGGAUUUUAUGUGCACUACAAGUGACACAGGGAAGCUAAUUUUAAGGAUCGCACACCUUAAAGUCUACGCUGAACCACUCAGACUCCUUGAAUGCAUCAAGUUGAGGAAACCAUUGGCUCAUUAUCCUGACAUCGAUUUCAAGCAAAUCGAAUGGAUAACAUUGCAACAUUCUCCUUGAGUGCCUUCUCUAUGGCCCUUGGAUUGAAGUUUAGCAAUUUGUCCUAAUGUCUAGACUCCAAAUGGUUUGGUAGAAUCCUAUCCAAAUAGUUAAGCUCAUUACAUUAUCUUUACUUUGGAAUUGCAACUUACCAACUUUACGUUGGAGUCAUGCAGUUUUACACGCUCAUGACAGAACUGCAUAAUAUUAUUCCCCUCUAUCUUUGAUAUGUGGAUAUCUACCAAGUAUUUCCUAUCUGCGGUAAUUCGGUUGCAUACCGAUAUCACCACCCGGCAUACAUCAUUGGCCCCUCAACAUAUAGUUGGGAUCUAUGUGAGGAAUAACUGUAUUUCCGUCAAUACCUCAAGCCCCUCGCAUGGGGAGUUAUUCAAGGCCUGUAUGCUGAUUCAAUGAGGAACAUUUCCAGGCAUUAGGGGGAGAUUUCAAGUACCAUAAAGAAUGCCAGGAAAUUAGUGGAAUGUUCAACACAUUUCUGCCUCAAAUCCACAUACUCAAAGAUCUGAACCAUGCGUUCAGAAGAUUUGCAACACAUUGCAAAUAACCUGCCAGAUUCAUUUACUGACUAUAAAGGUGUCACACAAUCCUACAAUCCUGAAAAAUAUGUCCGAAAGAGUGGAGGUACCAACUAAAACCACUCAACUCCCCGUUCAAAGCAACGGGGGGAGAAGUACGGCAAUAGUACAUCAGGAUUCAGCUUCUCGCAAGCAAGGAUAUCAAGGCCUGUGAAUCAGUAAAUGCAAGUCAACUUCACGUUGACAGACACCUGAUGGGUAGUAUACACCUAGUGGACGGGAAACCUCCACCAACCCAGGUCAUAGUGCACACAAUGACCGGGACAUCGGAAUACCCGACUCAAUCGCAUUGGGAAAUCGCGAGCAGUCACCAUGGGUAACAAUAUUUCCAUCAACUAUAUAUUGAUAUAUAGAUUCUGGAGAAACAUACAACUGGAAGUCUACAAUUGUCGACGUACAUUUCUCAACUAGAUUGCAAAAACCUUUUCAAAUGAUUCAGAUCCAAAGACCAUGGCCAUGGCAAAGUGUGAACAACACUCGGACUGAACUCAAGCAAAGGGUAUAAUCUAGGUAGAAAUGAUCUUGCUCAGUAAUGGCAAGGUAUUCAUAAGCAAUACCUACACCCGUUUUCUUCUGGAAACGGAAUUGAGAACAACAAGGUGGUGAACAGGGAGCAAGUAUUGUAGCACAAGGGUUCACGCAGAUACCCAACUAUUCUCCAGAGGUGGAAUCUCUUUCCGAUAACUUGUAUCAUUGGCAGUACAAAAUCAUCUAUCUCUGCAGUUGAUAGAUGUAGUGAUUACAUAUCCAUGUGGAUCACUAGAUUCAGUGAAUAUGGUUGAUCCCGGAUGGAAUCUCAAUUCUGAAUCGAAAUACAAAAUGCAAACAUGCAUUGUGCAAAUUUAGUAAGUCACCAUACGACUUAUUAUUGUCAGUACAUAUGGUACAACUGACGUAGUGAGAUCCUUAUACACAAGGAUUACUCAUACAAUGAUGAUUAUCCAUGUUUGUGUGUCUGCAAUGACGACACUUGUAAUCAUCUAAAUGGCGGAGUUUAAAAUGAAGGAUUUGGGUAAACCAAAAUACCGCUCGUUACUACAACUUGAGCGCCUUCAUUCAUACAUUAUGGUAUACUAUGUUGUCUAUAUCCAAAAUAUAUUGGAGAAAUUCAUUGUGGACAAAUCUUAUCCAUCCAUAACUCUCAUGGUAGUUCAUUCUCUAGACGUAGAGAAAUAUCUAUUUAGACCAAGAGAUGAUGGAAAUGAGAUAUUGGGACUCAACGUUCCAUAAUGCCAUUGGAUCCACCAAAUAUAAUUGGUUGGUACUCAAGAAUAUCUUUCGAUAUCUCCAAGGCAUCAAACAUCUUGUCCUGGUUUUCAGUUUCACAGGAAUGUGAACACCGAUAUCAUUGGAUACAUCGAUCAGAUCCCCACUAUGUCAGAUCAUAGACAAGCUUAGUGUUCCUACUAGGUGUGGUAGCCCUCUCAUGAAGAGUCUUCGAAACGGACCUUAUGGCUACAUCCACCAACCAUUAUCUCAACGAUAAUGUUUCUUGUGUUGCCCGGAUGCAAACAGGUUACAUAAUAAGUAAUAUCACUAUAUUGCAUAUCUUGCAAGUCAAAUCAGCGACUGAUUUGUUCAGCGAGUCUCUACCAAUUUCUAUGUUUUGGUAUGUGACGACUUUGAAUUUUUGCAAGAAUCAGGGGGAGUAUCUUCCUGAAUUGUUCCUGUUCAAUGCAUCAUAUUAUACUCUUUUUCCCUUCAUGAGUUUACUUUACAGAUUCUCAUAAAGGUUUUUAAUGAGGUAAUAUCAACAUGAGAUCAUAUGUCAUACUUUCUGUUUUCCCCACCGGGGUUUUUGGGAAAGUAUAUACGACAUAUUUAUUGUCCUCUGAACUCUAUGGGUUUUCUCGUAUUGAGUUAAAAGAGACAAUAACCAUUAUAUGUUGUAUCAUUUUCUCCUUAUUUUUCCCAUUGGGUUUGAAGGAGUUUUGGCAACAUAUCAAACACUAUACUCCUCAUAUUUUUCCCACAGGGUUUUUAGAGGAGCCUCUAAUCAAGAUGAUGAUUCUGGAUGAACAAGUGUAGAUUAGGGGGAGUGUUAGAGUUUAAUUAACAUGUGUUAAUUAUGGGGUAAAUCUCCCCUUGUAACUGCCAUCUCUCCCGAACGGAUGCCUCUUCAUCGCAUCCCUUCUCCUUGUAUAAAUGCUUACAAUCAUCUAAUGAAAGGGAUAGAGGAUUCACUUUUCUCUCAACAUCAAGUAGUACUUCCUCCGUAAAUAAAGAAACAUAAGAGUGUUUGGAUUAUCAUUUCUUUAGAGAGGGAGUAGUAUAUAUAUAGAAUUGAAUUAAUAAUCUCUACUCCUAAAGUAUCAGUUGGUCGUCUCUGUUCAUCGGUUAAUUUUCGUCCCACCAACACUGAUUUUUUUUCGUGCUCCCUCCCACCCAACCCCCGGGACAUCGAACAAAAAAAAGGGCUGGCUUAGCUAUGCCCCCACGAAGUCAAGGGGCCAAACCUCCGAUCGAAACAGAGAGAACCGGAUGAAAGAAAAUCUACGAAAAAAGACCUACGAAAUUAAACCAGCGAAAAAAACGAACCGCACGCAGGUAUACGAGCGAUUCCUCCUUCCUUCGAACCACUCGCAUGCUCGAUCCCUUCGUCGCCGCCGCUCCAUCCCUUCGCCCCCACCGCUCGAUCCCUUCGCCGCCGCCCUCGCACAUCAAAGCCGCCACCGAUAUGCCCUGUCGGAUCUCGCCUCAACCCCGCCGUCUUGUGAUACGGAGUUCACAGCCUCUGCCGCCGAUGUCUUCGCACGCGUUAGGGUUCCUGCGUCGCCGCCACACAGGAGCUCGUCGACCAGCCCAGCGUGCUGCUGCUCCGCGCUCGCUUCCCUCGUCGGUCGCCUUUGGAACCCUCGCUUCGGACUCCGCGCCAAGCCGUCGCCUCUUCGCCGAGAAAGAGGGCUCCCGAUCUCCGCCGUGGUCGACCAUCAGCGCGACGGGCAGAGCAACCAGCCCGUAGGCUCAUCCCCUUCUUGGAUCCACUCCGGCAGCGGCCAUCGUUGGUACGUUCCGCUCGUGAUAUAUUGGUGUAGGAUCAUCCCCUUCUCUUUAUCUAAAAAGGCUAUUCUACAUACGCCGAGGAGAAGAUGCUCACCUUCUCGCCCCUGUUGGAAAUAUGCCCUAGAGGCAAUAAUGAAUUGCUUAUUAUUAUAUUUCCUUGUUCAUGAUAAUCGUUUAUUGUCCAUGCUAUAAUUGUAUUGAUAGGAAACAUAGAUACAUGUGUGGAUACAUAGACAACACCAUGUCCCUAGUAAGCCUCUAGUUGACUAGCUCGUUGAUCAAUAGAUGGUUACGGUUUCCUGACCAUGGACAUUGGAUGUCGUUGAUAACGGGAUCACAUCAUUAGGAGAAUCAUGUGAUGGACAAGACCCAAUCAUAAGCCUAGCACAAAGAUCGUGUAGUUCGUAUGCUAAAGCUUUUCUAAUGUCAAGUAUCAUUUCCUUAGACCAUGAGAUUGUGCAACUCCCGGAUACCGUAGGAAUGCUUUGGAUGUGCCAAACGUCACAACAUAACUGGGUGGCUAUAAAGGUACACUACGGGUAUCUCCGAAAGUGUCUGUUGGGUUGGCACGAAUCGAGACUGGGAUUUGUCACUCCGUGUGACGGAGAGGUAUCUCUGGGCCCACUCGGUAGGACAUCAUCAUAUGCGCAAUGUGACCAAGGAGUUGAUCACGGGAUGAUGUGUUACGAAACAAGUAAAGAGACUUGCCUGUAACGAGAUUGAACAAGGUAUCGGAUACCGACGAUCGAAUCUCGGGCAAGUACAAUACCGCUAGACAAAGGGAAUUGAAUACGGGAUUGAUUAAAUCCUCGACAUCGUGGUUCAUCCGAUGAGAUCAUCGUGUAACAUGUGGGAGCCAACAUGGGUAUCCAGAUCCCGUUGUUGGUUAUUGACCGGAGAACGUCUCGGUCAUGUCUGCAUGAUUCCCGAACCCGUAGGGUCUACAUACUUAAGGUUCGAUGACGCUAGGGUUAUAAAGGAAGUUUGUAUGUGGUUACCGAAUGUUGUUCGGAGUCCCGGAUGAGAUCCCGGAUGUCACGAGGAGUUCCGGAAUGGUCCGGAGGUAAAGAUUUAUAUAUGGGAAGUCCUGUUUUGGUCACCGGAAAAGUUUCGGGUUUUAUCGGUAACGUACCGGGACCACCGGGAGGGUCCUGGGGGUCCACCAAGUGGGGCCACAAGCCCCGAAGGGUUGCAUGGGCCAAGUAUGGGAGGGGACCAGCCCCAGGUGGGCUGGUGCGCCCCCCACAAGGGCCCAAGGCACCUAAGGAGAGGAGAGGGGGCAAACCCUAAGGGCAGAUGGGCCUUAGGGCCCAUACCUGGUGCGCCUCCCUCUCCCCCUCCACCUGGCCGCCACCCAGAUGGGAUUGGGGCUGGCCGCCGCCCCUAGGGUGGAACCCUAGAGGGGGCACAGCCCCCUCCCUCUCCCCUAUAUAUAGAUGAGGUCUUUGGGGCUGCCAACACAAGAGUUUUGACCUCUCCCUGGCGCAGCCCUGCAUCUCUCUUUCCUACUCUCCCGCGGUGCUUGGCGAAGCCCUGCAGGAUUGCCACGCUCCUCCUCCACCACCAGGCCGUUGUGCUGCUGUUGGAUGGACUCUUCCUCAACCUCUCCCUCUCUCCUUGCUGGAUCAAGGCGUGGGAGACGUCACCGGGCUGUACGUGUGUUGAACGCGGAGGUGCCGUCCGUUCGGCACUAGGAUCUCAGGUGAUUUGGAUCACGACGAGUACGACUCCUUCAAUCCCGUUCUCUUGAACGCUUCCGCUUAGCGAUCUACAAGGGUAUGUAGAUGCACUCUCCUUCCCCUCGUUGCUGGUUUCUCCAUAGAUAGAUCUUGGUGACACGUAGGAAAAUUUUGAAUUUCUGCUAUGUUCCCCAACAGUGGCAUCAUGAGCUAGGUCUAUUGCGUAGAUUCUUUGCACGAGUAGAACACAAAGUAGUUGUGGGCGUUGAUUUUGUUCAAUAUGCUUACCGUUACUAGUCCAAUCUUGAUUCGGCAGCAUUGUGGGAUGAAGCAGCCCGGACCGACCUUACACGUACACUUACGUGAGACAGGUUCCACCGACUGACAUGCACUAGUUGCAUAAGGUGGCUAGCGGGUGCCAGUCUCUCCCACUUUAGUCGGAUCGGAUUCGAUGAAAAGGGUCCUUAUGAAGGGUAAAUAGCAAUUGACAUAUCACGUUGUGGUUUUGCGUAGGUAAGAACCGUUCUUGCUAGAAACCCACAGCAGCCACGUAAAACAUGCAAACAACAAUUAGAGGACGUCUAACUUGUUUUUGCAGGGUAUGCCAUGUGAUGUGAUAUGGCCAAAAGGAUGUGAUGAAUGAUAUAUGUGAUGUAUGAGAUUGAUCAUGUUCUUGUAAUAGGAAUCACGACUUGCAUGUUGAUGAGUAUGACAACCGGCAGGAGCCAUAGGAGUUGUCUUAAUUUAUUUAUGACCUGCGUGUCAACAUAAACGUCAUGUAAUUACUUUACUUUAUUGCUAACCGUUAGCUAUAGUAGUAGAAGUAAUAGUUGGCGAGACAACUUCAUGAAGACACGAUGAUGGAGAUCAUGGUGUCAUGCCGGUGACGAUGAUGAUCAUGGAGCCCCGAAGAUGGAGAUCAAAAGAAGCAAAGUGAUGAUGGCCAUAUCAUGUCACUAUUUGAUUGCAUGUGAUGUUUAUCAUGUUUUUGCAUCUUAUUUGCUUAGAACGACGGUAGUAAAUAAGAUGAUCCCUCAUUAAACUUUCGAGAAAGUGUUCCCCCUAACUGUGCACCGUUGCGAAAGUUCGUCGUUUCAAAGCACCAUGUGAUGAUCGGGUGUGAUAGAUUCUAACGUUCACAUACAACGGGUGUAAGACAGAUUUACACACGCGAAACACUUAGGUUGACUUGACGAGCCUAGCAUGUACAGACAUGGCCUCGGAACACAAAAGACCGAAAGGUCGAGCAUGAGUCGUAUGGUAGAUACGAUCAACAUGAAGAUGUUCACCGAUGAUGACUAGUCCGUCUCAUGUGAUGAUCGGACACGGCCUAGUUGACUCGGAUCACGUAAUCACUUAGAUGACUAGAGGGAUGUCUAUCUGAGUGGGAGUUCAUAAGAUGAACUUAAUUAUCCUGAACAUAGUCAAAAGGACUUCGCAAAUUAUGUCAUAGCUCGCGCUUCAGUUCUACUGUUUAGAUACGUUCCUAGAGAAAAGAUAGUUGAAAGUUGAUAGUAGCAAUUAUACGGACUAGGUUCGUUAACUGAGGAUUGUCCUCGUUGCUUCGUAGAAGGCUCAUGUCCUUAAUGCACCGCUCAGUGUGCUGAACCUUGAACAUCGUCUGUGGGUGUUGCGAACAUCUAACAUACAUGUUUUGAUAACUACGUGAUAGUUCAGUUAAACGGUUUAGAGUUGAGGCACCAUAGACGAUUUCGAAACGUCGCGGAACAUAUGAGAUGUUUCGAGGGCUGAAAUUGGGAUUUCAGGCUCGUGCCCACGUCAAGAGGUAUAACACCUCCGACGAGUUUCUUAGCGUACAAACUAAGGGAGAAAAGCUCAAUCGUUGAGCUUGUGCUCAGAUUGUCUGAGUACCACAAUCACUUGGAUCGAGUGGGAGUUAAUCUUCCAGAUGAGAUAGUGAUGUUUUUCCAAAGACAUUAUCACCAAGCUGCUAGAGCUUCGUGAUGAACUAUAACAUAUCAGGGAUAGACAUGAUGAUCCUUGAAAUAUUCGCGAUGUUUGACACCGCGAAAGUAGAAAUCAAGAAGGAGCAUCAAUUGUUGAUGGUUAGUGAAACCACUAGUUUCAAGAAGGGCAAGGGCAAGAAGGGAUACUUCAUGAAACGGCAAAUCAGCUGCUGCUCUAGUGGAGAAACCCAAGGUUGAACCCAAACCCGAGACUAAGUGCUUCUGUAAUAAGAGGAACAGCCACUUGAGCAGAAUUACCCUAGAUACUUGGUAGAUGAGAAGGCUGUCGAUAGAAGUAUAUUGGAUAUACAUUAUGUUAAUGUGUACUUUACUAGUACUCCUAGUAGCACCAGGAUAUUAGAUACCGGUUCGGUUGCUAAGUGUUAGUAACUCGAAACAAAAGGCUACGGAAGAAACGGAGACUGGCUAAAAGGUGAGAUGACGAUAUGUGUUGGAAGUAUUUCCAAGGUUGAUCAAAUAUCGUACGCUCCCUCUACCAUCGAGAUUGGUAUUAAAACCUAAAUAAUUGUUAUUUUGUGUUUGUGUUGAGCAUAGACAUGAUUGGAUUAUGUCUAUCACAAUACGGGUAUUCAUUUAAGGAGAAUAAUUGUUACUCUGUUUAUUUGAAUAAUACCAUCCCAAUCGUAGUGAUACACAUUUUCAUGCCAAAGGUAUAAGAUAGUAAUGAUAGUACCACACAAUUGUGGCACUGCAAUUUUAGUCACAAUGGUAUAAAAUGCAUGAAGAAGCUCCAUGUUGAUGGAUCUUUGGACUCGCUUGAUUUUGAAUCACUUGAGACAUGCAAAUCAUACCACAUGAGCAAGAUGACUGAAAGGCCUCGUUUUCAGUAAGAUGGAACAAGAAAGCAACUUGUUGGAAGUAAUACAUCUUGAUGUGUGCAGUCCAAUGAGUGCUGAGGCAUGUAGUGAAUAUCGUUAUAUUCUUACUUCACAGAUGAUUUAAGUAGAUACUGAGUAUAUUUACUUGAUGAAACACAAGUCUGAAUUAUUGAAUGGUUCAAGUAAUUUCAGAGUGAAGUUGAAGAUCUUCGUGACAAGAGGAUAAAAUGUCUAUGAUAUGAUCAUAGAAAUGAAUAUCUGAGUUACGAGUUUGGCACACAAUUAAGACAUUGUGGAAAUUGUUUCACAACUAAUACCGCCUGGAACACCAUAGUGUGAUGGUGUGUCCGAACAUCAUAGUUGCACCCUAUUGGAUAUGGUGCGUACCAUGAUGUCUCUUAUCGAAUUACCACCAUCGUUCAUGGGUUAGGCAUUAGAGACAACCGCACUCACUUUAAUAGGGCACCACGUAAUUCUGCUGAGACGAAACCGUUUGAACUAUGGUUUGGAGAAACCUGAGUUAUCGUUUCUUAAAAGUUUGGGGCUGCGACGCCUAUGUGAAAAAGUUUCAGGUUGAUAAGCUCGAACCCAAAGCGGAUAAAAUGCAUCUUCAUAGGACACCAAAAACGGUUGGGUAUACCUCCUAAUUCAGAUCCGAAAGCAAUAGGGAUUGUUUCUAGAAUCGGGUCCUUUCUCGAGGAAAAGUUUCUCUCGAAAGAAUUGGGUGGGAGGAUGGUGGAGACUUGAUGAGGUUAUUGAACCGUCACUUCAACUAGUGUAUAGCAGGGCACAAAGAGUUGUUCCUGUGGCACCUACACCAAUUGAAGUAGAAGCUUAUGAUAUUGAUCAUGAGACUUCGGAUCAAGUCACUCCCAAACCUCGUAGGAUGACAAGGAUGCGUGCUAAUUUAGAGUGGUACGUAAUCCUGUCAUGGAAGUCAUGCUGCUAGACAACAAUGAACCUACGAGCUAUGGAGAAGCGAUGGUGGGCCCGGAUUCCGAUAAAUGGCUCGAGGCCAUAAAAUCCGAGAGAGGAUCCAUGUAUGAAAACAAAGUGUAGACUUUGGCAGAACGACUCGAUGGUCGUAAGGCUGUUGAGUACAGAUGGAUUUUAAAAGGAAGACAGACAAUGAUGGUAAGUGUUACCAUUGAGAAAGCUCGACUUGUCAUUAAUAUGUUUCCCGACAAGUUCAAGGAGUUGACUGCGAUGAGACUUUCUCACACGUAGCGAUGCUAAAAGUCUGUUGGAAUUAUGUUAGCAGUUACUGCAUUGUUUAUGAAAUCUUGCAGAUACGAUGUCAAAAUAUUGUUUCCUUGAUGAUUUUCUUGAGGAAAGGUUGUAUGUGAUACAACCAGAAGGUUUUGGCAGUCCUGAAAAUGCUAACAAGUAUGCAAAGCUCCAGCAAUCCUUCUAAGGACUGGAGUAAGCAUCUCGGAGUUGGAAUGUACGCUUUGAUGAGAUGAUCAAAGCUUUUGGGUUUAUACAAAGUUUAUGAGAAACUUGUAUUUCCAAAGAAGUGAGUGGGAGCACUAUAGAAUUUAUGAUGAGUAUAUGUUGUUGACAUAUUGUUGAUCGGAAAUGAUAUAGAAUUUCUGGAAAGCAUGCAGAGUUGUUUGAAAAGUGUUUUCAAUGAAAAACUGGAUUAGGCUACUUGAACAUUGAGCAUCAGGAUCUAUAAGGAUAGAUCAAAAACCGCUUAAUGGUACUUUCAAAUGAGCACAUACCUUGACAUGAUCUUGAAGGUGUUCAAGAUGGGUCAGCCAAAGAAGGAGUUCUUGCCUGAGUUGUAAGGUAUGAAGUUAAGACUUAAAGCUCGACCACAGCAGGAGAAAGAGGAUGGACGAAGGUCGUCCCCUAUGCUAUUGUCAUAGACUCUAUACGGUAUGCCAUGCUGAGUACCGCACCUGAUGUGUGCCUUGCCACAUGUCUGGCAAGAGGGUACAAAGGUGAUCUAGGAGUAGAUCACCAGAUAGCGGUCAAAAUUAUCCUUAGAGUAAUAAGGAUAUGUUUCUCGGUUAUGGAGGUGAUAAAGAGUUCGACGUAAAGAGUUACAUCGAUGCAAGCUUAACACCUAUCCGGAUAGCUCCGAGUAGAGAUACCGGAUACGUAUAAUGGAGCAACAGUUUGGAAUAGCUCCAAGUAGAACAGUUAUUUCAAAUGGCUCCAAAUAUAGCGUAGAGAUUUGCGAGGUACAUACGGAUCUGAAUGUUGCAGACCCGUUGACUAAAACCUCUCUCACAAGCAACAUGAUCAAACCUAGAACUCAUUGAGUGCUAAUCACAUAGUGAUGUGAACUAGAUUAUUGACUCUAGUAAACUCUUUGUAUGUUGGUCACAUGGCGAUGUGACCUGUGAGUGUUAAUCACAUGGAGAUGUGAACUAGAUUAUUAACUCUAGUGCAAGUGGGAGACUGUUGGAAAUAUGCCCUAGAGGCAAUAAUAAAUUGGUUAUUAUUAUAUUUCCUUGUUCAUGAUAAUCAUUUAUUAUCCAUGCUAUAAUUGUAUUGAUAGGAAACACAGAUACAUGUGUGGAUACAUAGACAACACCAUGGCCCUAGUAAGCCUCUUGUUGACUAGCUCGUUAAUCAAUAGAUGGUUACAGUUUCCUGACCAUGGACAUUGGAUGUCGUUGAUAACGGGAUCACAUCAUUAGGAGAAUCAUGUGAUGGACAAGACCCAAUCAUAAGGCUAGCACAAAGAUCGUGUAGUUCGUAUGCUAAAGCUUUUCUCAUGUCAAGUAUCAUUUCCUUAGACCAUGAGAUCGUACAACUCCCGGAUACCGUAGGAAUGCUUUGGGUGUGCCAAACGUCACAACGUAACUGGGUGGCUAUAAAGGUACACUACGGGUAUCUCCGAAAGUGUCUGUUGGGUUGGCACGAAUCGAGACUGGGAUUUGUCACUCCGUGUGAUGGAGAGGUAUCUCUGGGCCCACUCGGUAGGACAUCAUCAUAUGCACAAUGUGACCAAGGAGUUGAUCACGGGAUGAUGUGUUACGAAACAAGUAAAGAGACUUGCCGGUAACGAGAUUGAACAAGGUAUCAGAUACCGACGAUCGAAUCUCGGGAAAGUACAAUACCGCUAGACAAAGGGAAUUGAAUACGGGAUUGAUUAAAUCCUCGACAUCGUGGUUCAUCCGAUGAGAUCAUCGUGGAACAUGUGGGAGCCAACAUGGGUAUCCAGAUCCCACUGUUGGUUAUUGACCGGAGAACGUCUCGGUCAUGUCUGCAUGAUUCCCGAACCCGUAGGGUAUACACACUUAAGGUUCGAUGACGCUAGGGUUAUAAAGGAAGUUUGUAUGUGGUUACCGAAUGUUGUUCGGAGUCCCGGAUGAGAUCUCGGACGUCACGAGGAGUUCCGGAAUGGUCCGGAGGUAAAGAUUUAUAUAUGGGAAGUCCUGUUCUGGUCACCGGAAAAGUUUCGACUUUUAUCGGUAACGUACCGGGACCACCGGGAGGGUCCCGGGGGUCCAUCAAGUGGGGCCACAAGCCCCGAAGGGUUGCAUGGGCCAAGUAUGGGAGGGGACCAGCCCCAGGUGGGCUGGUGCGCCCCCCCACAAGGGCCCAAGGCGCCUAAGGAGAGGAGAGGGGGCAAACCCUAAGGGCAGAUGGGCCUUAGGGCCCAUACCUGGUGCGCCUCCCUCUCCCCCUCCACCUGGCCGCCACCCAGAUGGGAUUGGGGCUGGCCACCGCCCCUAGGGUGGAACCCUAGAGGGGGCGCAGCCCCCUCCCUCUCCCCUAUAUAUAGUUGAGGUCUUUGGGGCUGCCAACACAAGAGUUUUGACCUCUCCCUGGCGCAGCCCUGCAUCUCUCUUUCCUCCUCUCCCGCGGUGCUUGACGAAGCCCUGCAGGAUUGCCACGCUCCUCCACCACCACCACGCCGUCGUGCUGCUGUUGGAUGGACUCUUCCUCAACCUCUCCCUCUCUCCUUGCUGGAUCAAGGCGUGGGAGACGUCACCGGGCUGUACGUGUGUUGAACGUGGAGGUGCCGUCCGUUCGGCACUAGGAUCUCAGGUGAUUUGGAUCACGACGAGUACGACUCCUUCAACCCCGUUCUCUUGAACGCUUCCGCUUAGCGAUCUACAAGGGUAUGUAGAUGCACUCUCCUUCCCCUCGUUGCUGGUUUCUCCAUAGAUAGAUCUUGGUGACACGUAGGAAAAUUUUGAAUUUCUGCUAUGUUCCCCAACAGCCCCUCCCCCUACCGUGAUGUACGUGGAUGAAUCCGACGGCAACAAGGACGACCUCGUAGGAUCCAGCCACGGUUGUGCGGAAUUUCACGGGGAUGAAUCUACCCGGCCUCUCGUCCUAUCUGCCGCCGGUAGAGGCAUCCAUGUCUGAUGGUGUGAAUUUUGGCUGGUUCCAUGAGCACUUCGUUCCCUGCCGUGUAGUCUUCGUUGAUUCGGAAAGAUGGUGGUUGUCUGUUUAGCCAUUUCAAUCUGCUAUUGAUCAUGCUCAUUCUUGUUAUAUUCAGUUAUAUUGGAAACACCAUCUGAUUCAGUUAUAUUCUUGAUCAUGCUCAUCCUCAUCCUUAUUCAAAUAAGAAUACUUCUGUUUGGAGAGCUCGGGCGUCAGCUGUGUGGAAGCACCAGCUGAUUUGUAACUGGUCGGAAGGUGAGCUUCUCAUACUCGCUGCCGUCGAAGCACGACACCUCGCCGCCACUUAUGUUGCGUGUUGUUGUGCUGUAGGUCCUUGGGGUUGGGUGUGGCAACUCGCGACUCGAAGACAUUUCGUGCAUGUGCUCCCCUGCGCUUGGUGACCAAUACAUCUACUCCGUCGUGAACAUGUGCUUCGUGUCAUACAGGUCGCCGCCAAGGGUGAGCUCGUGCAGCGGUACAGGUAUAGAUGUGCAUCCCAUAAGGGCAGCUACAUUUUCUUUCAUAAAGUUAUUUGUGUGAGUGCCCUGCAUAUUGAAGUAAACUGGAUCGGCUAAUCUUGAGUUCCUCCACCAAGUUAUAUUACUUCGACAAGAAAAAGUGCAGAAAGACCAUAUAAAGUACUCUGGUGACUCUCUCAAUUGAACUAGAAUUUUUUUAGAUGCGUGAAACAUGCACAACGAUUUGCUCUAUUGAGUCUAUGUAUGUUGAACUAGCACUCGAAUUAUAGCUCAUGCCGGUAUACUAAUUUUCUCUUUCUCAUAUCAGCUCUCCUUCUUUUUGUCCAUUUUUCUUCACUACUACCUGAAGGAAACUGUACUGGAUAGCAGCCUAUCAUAUAUAGUUACAUGUACCGAGUGAUUUAGCUUCAUUUUAAUGAUACUGUCAACAACUAACUACUGCUGCGACAUAUUUGAUGCAACCUGUAAAAUAUUUUUUGUUUAAUUUCAGCAUAUCAUUUAUAUACUGAAGUCUCUUCUGGACAUGUUGUCUAAUUGCGUCAUGUAUGUUAGAUAUUUGUUCUAUAAUACUUGCCAUUGACUAUUUUUCUUUUAUUUAGGUUAUGUGCAUUAUUGAUCAGCCAAUCUUGAGAGAGAGAUGGGUUGGCGUGAAUGGGAAGAAAACUACAUUGAAUGGACAAGAAGUAUGCCCUCAACUUUUUCAUGGUAUGUCUUACUUAUUGUUCUUGUGAUUUUUCCAUCAGUUUCACUUUACAUUUCUUCUUUGCUUUUUCAUGGCAUCGGGAUGCCCACUGCCGACGGCGCUGCGUUGCUACCAAAGGGGCACCCUGCCGCGGCCAGGGACUCGCUGCCGUCGAAGCACGACACCUUGCCGUCACGUAUGUUGGGUGUUGUGGUGCUGCAGGUCCUUGGGGUUGGGUGCGGCAACUCGAGACUCGAAGACGAUCUUCUGCGGUAGGGCGUCGCCGGCGGCGGUGGCACCUGUAUAGACCGUCUCGGUGUGACAGAAGAGUUCGGAGUUCACUCCGAGAAAGAAUUGCUUUGCAUGUACAUUUGCUGAAAGACUGAUGUGCUGAACUUUCGAUGAUUUCGAUUGGUCUCUAACAUAACCUUUCCUCUUUUUGUUGAUAUGUCCAAAAGAGAUCCUUAUUUCACCUUUUGUUUAUAGGUAUUCAACUUGAGGAAUUUCAUACUUUUGGAGUGGAGCUAUCAAAUAUAUGUGUGCUCGAUGUUGGUGUUUUAAUCCGGAUCUCUCGCUGAAGGUGCUCGAUGUUGGUGUUUGAAUACUGCUACCGUACUUCAAGGUCUGUAGCAGCUCUUACAAUGGAUUCUUUUUAAUGAUAGUACAAUUUAUUUUUGUUUCGAUUUGGUAUUGUUGUUUUGUUCACUUAACCCAGUCUGUAGCAGCAGCUUUUCAUGUCGUUUCCUCGCCAACAAAUGUCAUAAUUUAUCACAUACGUGUGCAAAUGGUUUUUUGGCUAUAGUAUGAGUAUAUGGUUCAGAGAAGUUCGGUCAGAUGCAAAGCAUGCUUAGCAUCUCAUAGUCGUAGGCUAUUCCUUUUAAAAUUGAAGCCAUCCAGGUUUUCAAUUAUGGAGAUGAUUUGGAAACUCAGCAUAGAAAAUUAUUUACUCUAAUGCAAAUUACACAUAUUAAGGCCUUUAUUCUUUUAUAUUAAGGUCUCCAGUGCAAGCAUUAGCCCAUCUUUAGCUGCUCAUAAGCAGUAUCAGUGAUAUAUAUAUAUAUAUAAGUACACUCUUGCUAAGAUUAAUCUUUGAUAUAUAUAAUUCAUUGCCUGGAUAUAGUUUGCUUUGAAUGUUUUUUUGCUCUUUAGUCUAUGAAGAAUUGCAAGGAGGAGGAUAAUAGAGCAGCAACCAGAGCUGACAAUUGGCCUGUAAAUGCUGCAAAGUUCUCCUAAAGGUGUGAUGUUGGUGGUGAUUUUCUUAUCCGGGGAUAUGGAUGUGGCGGGUCUGUGGGCACCAUGCUGACGCGGAGAAGGAGGUGCAGGUAGCGGGGGCGCUUGAGGUGAGGUGGCUGCAGGGUCGCUCGAGAAGAAUAGGCUCAUCAGCAACACCUGGAUGCCUUCGUCAUCAGCAAUGUGGACAAGGUGCAAAAGGGAUAUCGCCCUUACCUCUUAUUCAGUCUGGAAAAUUAUGCAAUGUUUGGUUUGGUAGAUUUAACAGUCGCUGGUUCGGAAAUUUGUUACCUAUAGAAGUAUAGGAAUAACAUGACUAAUAUUUAUUGAAUUUAUAGAGUUAUUGUUUUUUUCUACAAAGUCAGUUGUUAAAUUAGGAAGAACAUCGUCUAAAAUCUUGACAACAUAAAGGAGCAUAGAGUUAAUAGAUUAUGAAAUCCUGUAGUGCAUCAGAUGCACCCUUCACUAAUUUUUGAACACAUUUAUAUUAUCCAGGUUCCGACCUCAUUCGUUGUGAUGUUUGUCUUUUUUAUGUGGGCGAGGAAAACAUUUUUAGGAGUGAUACUCCCAAACUUUGAUUUCUUGGUUGUCGAAUCAUGGUGCUGAUUAGAUUUUACUUAACCUUAAUUAAUCUAUUUAUAUUGUGGCUUUGUCUUUUAGCUCAUCUUUUAGUUUCUCUUCUCCACUUAACACAAGAUUUUAUUGUAGGCUACCAAGUACAAUUAUACCACUUAUACUCUUUCUAUCUGAUUAUGCAAAGCUUGAUCUAUACUCAUUGAACUUUGUUAGAUAGUAGGCCCUCCUAUUAGUGUGCCUAAAUAUAAUUGUUUCUCUGUGUUUAUAGUAUCUUAGUCCAGUAGAAUGAAUGUUCUCGAGUAAUUAGAGGUAUUUGGAUCAAGUGAAUGUCUGAAUACCACUAAAAUCGAAAUCAUAAUGCUUAUCAUUGGUCAGCACCACCACCUACUCUGAAUCUCUGAUCAGAAUAGUACGAACUAUUAAAUUGGGAACUUAAUGCUUAUCAUUGUUGAUGUACAUAUGUACAACUAACAAUGUUUGUGCUGCAACCAGCUUACUUUAUUCCUUGCUGAAAUUUAUCUUGACUUAUUUCACAUCAGAUAGUUCUGAACCUAGAUGAUCUCAAUUAAGGUCAUUGAAAUUUGUUAAAUUAUUUUUAUCCACUCUUCUGAACGAGCGUAUACUAUGAUCUGAUUUGUAUAUCAUAUUACUGAGGCAGCGCUGGGCCAUGCUGUGGUGAGAACAUACGAGAGAUAAUUGGGGUGUGUGGCUGAUUGCUUCAUAUGCUGCUAAUGAUAUAUGUAGACUGCUGAUUGCUCCUGAUAUACAGUGUCGAUUGCAGCUGAUAGUAGGAUUGUACUCAAUUUGAUAGGUAAAGUGGGAUGGCGGGAUUGUAUAGUGCUCAUAAGCCAGUCCGGGCAUUGUCCUUCCUCGAAUGAAUAUGAGACUACUCCUCAUAUGUUAAUCAGUUGCUCCUCCCUAGCUUUGGUUUGGUCUGAACUUCAAAGUUUUCAUCCACUCAAUGUUGAUUCAGUCAAAGAUCUCUUGGAAAAAUUAUUUCGACAAGAUUCACUCUAUAAUGUUGUUAUCAUUGUCCUCUGGAAUAUAUGGAAGUGCAAAAACUCCAAGGUCUCCCGGGAUGUUUUUGAGGAAUUGCACAUUACUGCUAGCAAGAUUGCUGAUGAUUGAUACCAUGGUCCAACAGGUAUUCACAUGAAAUUAAUAAAUGGCACCUUACGGAUUGGAGUACUCUACUGUAUCACCUAUCUGGGAGAUUUUAAUUUUUUCCUUCUAUUAUUUCUCUUAAUCCCUGUGCACUCAUCGGACUUUGUAUAGUUCUCAGUUUUAUGAAGUGGUUCAGGCUGGCGUAAGCCGCCAUAGUCCCAGUAAAAAAAAGGCUACAAGCUUCGCUUCGGCCUUUUGGAACUGAAUAUUAUGUAGUUUUAUUGAGAUUAUUGAUAGUGCUUCUCUACUAUCAAAGAAGGUAAUAGUCUCUUAUGUGUUUCUUUUUGUCCAUUUGAAUGCACUCCAUUUUUUAGUGUAUUAAUUAACAUCAAACCUCCCAUUCUUUCUAGAGUGCUGAUGUAUUAUUAUUUUCAGCUUAACACAUUUAACUUCCUAUAGAUUUCAUGGUUUAUGCAGAUUAACCGAGCUAAGAUUUUUUGUGAAGCUAAAGCUGGUGUUAAGAUGAACGCCGCUAUGUAUAUAUUUGAAACAGUUAGAUACAUGCUUGACAGACUAUAUAGGGGUGAUCAAAACCAUGCAAAGCAUUAUGGGACAAGUUUCUCUACCUUAAAUAAGUGUUCAUUCUCUCGUGUUUACUAUUCGUUUAAGGGUCAUCAACCCGUGUAUUUAUUUUCAUUGAGCAAGUUUUACAUUUUUCUUCAGUGGUGUUCAUUGUGCAGUUCUAGAUUUUUAAGAGAGUAGAGUUUAUUGAUUUAUUACAUGGAGAGACCAGUAGUGUCGUAGUGGUCUUGACAUAAUUACUAACAUUUUCUACUAGAAAAAGUUUAAUUGCACUAAAUACAAAUUAGAACAUGCAUAGACAUUUAUCUUCUUUCUACAGAAUGGUUAGUGUAAACGUACUUUAAGUUGUACAUGAUUCUGUAUCUGACCAUUUUAUCUCAUAUGUUGAUGUGGUUGCAGAUAUGAACUUCAAAUUAUCCUGCAAUGUAUUGACUGCUCGGAGCUAACUUGACUACGCCAGUUUUCUUUUAUGGCUCAAAGUAGUUAGUGUCCCCCCUUAUUAUGAGAGAGGUACUACUUCAAACAUCUCUUCUUAAUGUUUUAUGUCAUGGCAUACAGUAUGAGGGAGUGUUAGUUGGCUUGACUUUCGUGGCACUCAUUGAUAACCUUUCAGUUUAGGAGUUUUUGUGGCCUCUUAAUCCAUGAGAGUAUGCUCAUGUUGAAGAAGUUAGUCAUAAUGAGGGGCACCAUAAAUGUUUGUUAUCUGGCACAAAUUCCUAAUGAAUAUCACAUGUGAACCUUUUACUGUUGUGUUAUUCAAAUUUCAUUGUACUAUUCAUACAGUAAAAUAUGAGUGCCAUGUCAGAAUAUGGUUCUCGAUCUGAAAGAUCAUAUUCAAAAUUACAGGUUCUAUGGCAGUGCACUGGUAGAAAAAGAGGCUUCCGUCCAGCCCCAUUAGUCGCGAAACUGUAGGAACCGCGACCAAUGAAGUCUUUAGUCGCGGUUCGACAGACGAACCGCGACCAAAUGCCUGGGCCCAGGGCGCUCGGUGGCCAGCUGGUGCACGUGAGGGGCUUUAGUCGCGGUUGGCCAGGCCAACCGCGACUAAAGCUCCUCCCCUAUAUAUACCAGUUCAGCACACUCACUUAGCCAUUUGGUGCCACUUCUCUUCGCAAGCUUCACAAGGGGGUGUAGGUUUGCUUUUGGUUCCUCUUAUGCACACAAGGUGUUUGAUGAAAUGCCCCAAGAGCGUGAAACAAACAUGAUAUGAAGUGUUGGAGCCACACUUGAGGUUCCUCAUUUAUUUUUUCCUCCUCGAUCGCGGUUAGCAACUUGAACCUUUCAUGCAUGUGUGUCAUUGAUAAAAUAUGCAUGUGUGUUGUUCAUUGUUUAAUUUCUAUUGUUUAUAGCUAGUUAGUUUAACAAAUGCAUGAUGGUUAAUUAUAUAUUUUAUAUUAUAAUAAUGCAGAUGAAUCGGCAAUGGAUGUACGGUAACCGACUCUCCCGCGAGUUCACUACGGGUUUGAAAGAUUUCCUCGUAGUGGCUAAUGCGAACAAGCAGAAGGGUUUUGUUAUCUGUCCAUGUGUUGACUGUAAGAAUCAGAAGGGUUACUCUUCCUCAAGAGAAGUUCACUUGCACCUGCUUCGGCACGGUUUCAUGCCAAGCUAUAAUUGUUGGACCAAGCAUGGAGAAAGAGGGGUUAUAAUGGAAGAAGAUGAAGAAGGGGAUGAUUUCAUCGAUGAAAGCUAUCUUGCUCAUUUCGGUGAUACUUUCAUGGAGGAUGCUGAAGGUGAAGGGGAAGGUGAAGGUGAAGAAGAGGCACGUGAUGAGACCGUUGAUGAUCUUGGUCGGACCAUUGCUGAUGCACGGAGACGCUGCAAAACUGAAAAGGAGAGGGAGAAUUUGGAUCGCAUGUUAGAGGAUCACAGAAAGUCGUUGUACCCCGGAUGCGAUGAUGGUCUGAAAAAGCUGGGCUGCACACUGGAUUUGCUGAAAUGGAAGGCACAGGCAGGUGUAGCUGACUCGGCAUUUGAAAACUUGCUGAAAAUAUUGAAGAAUAUGUUUCCAAAGAAUAACGAGUUGCCCACCAGUACGUACGAAGCAAAGAAGGUUGUCUGCCCUCUAGGUUUAGAGGUUCUGAAGAUACAUGCAUGCAUCAACGACUGCAUCCUCUACCGCGGUGAAUACGAGAAUUUGAAUGAAUGCCCGGUAUGCACUACAUUGCGUUAUAAGAUCAGAGGCGAUGACCCUGGUGACGAUGUUGAGGGCGAGAAACCCAGGAAGAGGGUUCCCGCCAAGGUGAUGUGGUAUGCUCCUAUAAUACCACGGUUGAAACGUCUGUUCAGGAACAAAGAGCAUGCCAAGUUGUUGCGAUGGCACAAAGAGGACCGUAAGUCGGACGGGGAGUUGAGACACACCGCAGAUGGAACGCAAUGGAGAAAGAUCGACAGAGAGUUCAAAGAUUUUGCAGCUGACGCAAGGAACAUAAGAUUUGGUCUAAGUACAGAUGGCAUGAAUCCUUUUGGCGAGCAGAGCUCCAGCCAUAGCACCUGGCCCGUGACUCUAUGCAUCUACAACCUUCCUCCUUGGUUGUGCAUGAAGCGAAAGUUCAUUAUGAUGCCAGUGCUCAUCCAAGGUCCGAAGCAACCCGGCAACGACAUCGAUGUGUACCUAAGGCCAUUAGUUGAUGAACUUUUACAGCUGUGGGGCAGACCUGGUGUCCGUGUGUGGGAUGAGCACAAAGAAGAGGAAUUUGUCCUACGAGCGUUGCUUUUCGUAACCAUCAACGAUUGGCCUGCUCUUAGUAACCUUUCGGGACUGUCAAAUAAGGGAUACAAUGCAUGCACGCACUGCUUACAUGAGACUGAAAGUGUACAUUUUCCAAAUUGUAAGAAGAACGUGUACCUUGGGCAUCGUCGAUUUCUUCUGAAAAUUCAUCCAGUAAGAAAGAAAGGCAAGCAUUACAACGGCAAGGCAGAUCACCGGCCGAAGCCUGCGGAACGCACUGGUGAUGAGGUAUUUGAUAUGGUCAAGGAUUUGAAAGUCAUCUUUGGAAAGGGUCCUGGCGGACAAUCAGUUCCGAAGGGAGCUGACGGGCACGCAGCCAUGUGGAAGAAGAAAUCUAUAUUCUGGGAGCUAGAAUAUUGGAAAGUCCUAGAAGUCCGCUCUGCAAUCGACGUGAUGCACGUUACGAAGAAUAUUUGCGUGAACCUCCUAAGCUUUUUGGGCGUGUAUGGAAAGACAAAUGAUACAAAGGAAGCACGGCAGGACCAGCAACGUUUGAAAGACCCUGAUGACCGGCAUCCGGAAUGGUUUCAAGGUCGUGCCAGCUACGCUCUGACCAAAGAAGAGAAGGUCAUCUUUUUUGAAUGCCUGAGCAGUAUGAAGGUCCCGUCUGGAUUCUCGUCCAAUAUAAAGGGAAUAAUAAACAUGGCGGAGAAAAAGUUCCAAAACCUGAAGUCUCACGACUGCCACGUGAUUAUGACGCAAUUGCUUCCGAUUGCUUUGAGGGGGCUCCUGCCGGAAAAUGUUCGAGUAGCCAUUGUGAAGCUAUGUGCAUUCCUCAAUGCAAUCUCUCAGAAGGUAAUCAAUCCAGAAGUUCUACCACGGUUACAGAACGAUGUGAUCCAAUGUCUUGUCAGUUUCGAGUUGGUGUUCCCGCCAUCCUUCUUCAAUAUUAUGAUGCACCUCCUGGUUCACCUAGUCGAAGAGAUUUUCAUUCUCGGUCCUGUAUUUCUACACAAUAUGUUCCCCUUCGAGAGGUUCAUGGGAGUAUUAAAGAAAUAUGUUCGUAACCGUGCUAGGCCAGAAGGAAGCAUCGCCAAGGGCUAUGGAAAUGAGGAGGUAAUUGAGUUUUGUGUUGACUUUGUUCCUGACCUUAAGCCGAUUGGUCUUCCUCGAUCGCGGCAUGAGGGGAGACUAAGUGGAAAAGGCACGAUCGGAAGAAAAUCAACGAUAUGUAUGGACGUCCAUUCUCUGACUGAAGCACACCACACUGUACUGACCAAUUCCAUCUUGGUGGCUCCGUACUUUGAGAAACACAAGAAUAUUUUACGCUCGGACAACCCGGGGAAGCCUGAAUCCUGGAUUAGGAAGGCCCACAUGGAGACUUUCGGCAGUUGGUUGAGAAAACAUUUAAUGAAUGACAAUGAUGUUGUAGAUCAGCUGUACAUGUUGGCCAAGACACCAUCUUCGACUAUAAUGACUUUCCAAGGGUACGAGAUAAAUGGGAAUACAUUUUACACGAUCUCCCAAGAUAAAAAGAGCACCAACCAAAACAGUGGUGUCCGCUUUGAUGCAGCAACCGAGAAUGGGCAAAAGGUCACAUAUUAUGGUUACAUAGAGGAGAUAUGGGAACUUGACUAUGGACCCUCCUUUAAGGUCCCUUUGUUCCGGUGCAAAUGGUUCAAGCUAACAGGAGGUGGGGUAAAGGUGGACCAGCAAUACGGAAUGACAAUGGUGGAUUUCAAUAAUCUUGGUUACCUUGACGAACCAUUCGUCCUAGCGAAAGAUGUCGCUCAGGUUUUCUAUGUGAAGGACAUGAGUAGCAAACCGAGGAAACGGAAAGAUAAGAAAACGAUCAGUACAUCAUGCGAUGAUCCAAAGCGCCACAUUGUUCUUUCAGGGAAAAGAAACAUCGUGGGAGUGGAGGACAAGACAGACAUGUCAGAAGAUUAUAAUAUGUUUGCUGAAAUUCCGCCCUUCAAAGUGAACACCGACCCAAGCAUUAAGUUAAAUGAUGAGGAUGCUCCAUGGAUACGGCACAAUCGUAAGCAAGAAGGGACACAAGGGAAGAAAUGAUGUGUAAUAAUUUAUUACCCGUGAUGUGUUUGGUGUCCAUUUUCGAAUGAUUCGAGAUACCACUGAUGAUACAUGAAAUUUGGAGUGAUUUAGUCAUACUCCUGCCUAGGCGUAUAAUAUGCAUACUCGUAGUCUUCAUAGCCGCCGUCGUCGUCGUUCCUGUCGUCGCCUUCUAAGUUGCCGCCGUCGUCAUCGCUGCUGUCGUCGCUGUCGUCGGGCGGCGCUCGUGGCUCGAACUGAGGGUAGCGCAGGCGGGGGAUAUCGCCGGCCGUGAUGUAGUCCAUGACGCUCUGCAGAGUCCGGCCGUACCACCAUAGCCGACGGCCGGCCUCGUGGAAGUUCCCAGGAGGCAGACCGUCCUCCUCAUACCUGGCGAGCGCCCUCUCACGCCGAUUAAUGAAGAAGGCGUCCCAAGUAUGCUGGUUAUCGGGAUGCCAGCGGGGAUUCAUCCGCUGCUCCGGCGUGAGGUCGAGGUAGUAGUGGUUCGUGAUGGCCGCCCGGCACGCAGUACCCUGAGGGACGGGAGGGACCGGCACGCCGCCGGCGCUUAGGCUCCAGCCGGUGGGGACGCGGUAGCCCGGUGGACAAGGGUAGUUCGAGGCGCAAAGCUCCUCCACCUGCUGGUAGGUUAGAGUGGGUGCGGUGGAAGCCAUGAGAGAGUGAUGAGAGAUUGUAGAGAUGUGAUAAUGCUGGCCAAGACGGGCUACAUAUAUGUAGUGAGAAAUGGCGGGAAAAAUGGGAGCGGGAAGACAGGAGGCGGGAAGAAAGUGGCGGGAAGAAAGAGGCGGGAAGACAAGGAAGAAAUGGCGGGAAGAAGAUAAUAUUUGUGUUUUUAACAUAUUGAAUUGAAUUAGUUCUAUUUUUCUGAAUUUUUUGAUAUAUUAUUUGUAUUUUUAACAUAUUGAAUUGAAUUACUUUUAUNNNNNNNNNNCGCCGUCGCCCUCGCCCUCAACGCCGCCCGCCGCCGCCCGCCGCGCUGUCAGGCGACGACUCCGGCGCCUCGGCCGGGUAAUUAUCCUCAAGCGCCGUCUCCUCCAGGCCCCGUGCCGCGCGGCCCAUGGCGGCGCACGAGAGCAGCAGCACGGCCAAGAGAAGAAGCGCGGUGCAGCGGGCCUUCUCCGGUGAAGUGCCGCCACGGGAGAGGCUCACCGGAGCUCUCUCCGGCACCCGCCUACGGGUCCCAUCUGUCAUACACAUGAACACACUGCUGGGUGCACUUCCGUGUACCCAUAGCAGUUUCUGUAUUUAAUAAUUUGAAUUAAAUUAAAUCAGGAUAUUAGAAAAUGAACCAAAACUUUGAAAAUUAAUAGAAAAUAAACCGUAACUCGGAUGGGAAAACUCUGUACAUGAAAGUUGCUCAGAACGACGAGACGAAUCCGGAUACGCAGCCCGUUCGUCCAUCACGCAUCCCUAGCAUAGCGAACACGCAACUUUCCCCCUCCGACCCAUCUGUCUGAAAACGCGAAACACCGGGAAUACUUUCCCGGAUGUUUCCCCCCUUCACCGGUACCACCUCGUACCGCGUUAUGGUACACCUAGCAAAUAAAAAACUUGCCAUGAUGAAUUACUAAAAUUUGCCAUGAUCUAUCAAAUAAUUUUGACAUGAUUCAUAAGUAAAAAAAGAAAUAUGUCAUCAGUUAUUUUAACAAUGCAUGGUCACUGGCUCAAAUUUGGCAUGAACUAUAAACUAAAACUAUCAUGGUGAAUUACUUAAAUUUGCCAUGAUACAUGUACUAAAAUUUGCCAUGGUUCAUACAAAAAUGUGUAAACCCUCUCCCACCCCUUCCUCGCCCCCUUCUUUUGCCACCGCCCUUUCGCCACCGCCACCGCCACCGCCACCGCCCCCCUUCUUCACUUAAUUAAUUUGUUUUUACUACAUGUUUUCAGGACUGACAUAAUGGCGGACGAUAGAGCUGACCCGAUUAUGGACAACUAUGAUCCGGACGGUGAAGCACAUAUGUUCGGCAUCAUAAACGGCGAUAUUCUAUAUGUGCCGACCGGACAAGAAGAAGAUGAUAUCUCUUCUUAUCUGAACCUUGACGGUGAAGAUGAAGGGCGCCGUCAGCAAGAUGAUGCCGAACAAACGUCGAUAAACGACGAUCUUCAAAUGGAAGUAGCAACCACCUCCGGCGCCGAGGUAUAUAUAUACAUUGAGCCUCUGGUGAUACAAACUAACUGAUUUGAAUAAAUAUGUGUGUACUAACGUGCGCGACUCUCUUUCUUAUUUUAGCCCUCGGCCGGAUCGUCGAAACAAUCGAGUACAUCGUCAAAGCGUGGCGCAACCAAGACGAUGAAACAAGGAGAAACAUGCACCAUCGAGGUUGUCGACAGUGCAACCGGCAGGCCGCUGGAGCCCCGCAAGAACGCCACCAAGUUUGUCAACCAAUGCGGAGCCGUUGUUAGAGACAACGUCUCGAUCACCGUCCAGGAGUGGAAUAAGCCAAAGAAGGCACGAAUUGCUGGUUUCACUUUUGUCGAUAAGAGAACAAAAAAAGAUUGCUUCAAGAAGCUUAUGGAACAUUUCAUUCUACCUCCGGAAUACAACAAAUUCGAUGAGGAGGGUAACAAGAUUGAGGAAAACAAGGAGAGGAUGAGGCUAGUCAAACAGUUCGCUCUUCAUAAGAUGGCCGACGCAUUCCGGAAAUUCAAGCAAAAUCUAGCCCGUGACUUUGUCAAGCAGAACAAGACUCCGGAUUUCAAAGGACAAUAUGAGAAACUGAAACAUGAUUGGCCAGAAUUUGUGAAGCAAAAGAAAUCGGAGCAGUUCAUUCAAAUAUCAAAAAAAAUAAGGAAAAUGCGGCUAAGAAGGAGUACAAUCAUAUUAUGGGGCCAGGAGGGUAUCGCCUUUGGGUGCCUAGGUUGGAGAAGAUGGAGAACGAGCUGAGGGCGCGAGGAAUCCGUCCAGGUACGGAGGGAUGGGACCCAAGGGCCAAAAGCUGGUGGUACGGGCAUGGGGGAACGCUGAACCCGAAGACAGGGGAGUGUGUUUACCGGGGCAAAAUAAUUAAACCCACCCAAGCCCUUAUUGACGCAAUGAGGGAUGCUCAAGAGGGGAAGAUCAAGUUCAACAGAGAGAACGACGCGCUGACAAAAGCCCUCGGGAAUCCUGAACACGGAGGACGUGUACGAGGCAUGGGGCACAUUCCGUGGAAAAUAGGGUUCCCCCAGAACGAUGACCCGUACGGUUACAGAAGCCGUAAGAGAAAGAUGGAUCGGGAAGCAGAUGUUGUGGCGCGGUUGGCAUCGGAAAUGGAUGUGAUGAAGAAAACCGUGAGUGUACUAGUAGCCGAAAGAGAUGCAGCUCGGGCGCAGCAUGAAGAUCAUCUAGCGGAUCUCGGAAGCCAGCAGCGGAGAAGCAGCGUGGCUUCCUCGGAGGCCCCACCGGCUGGUGCAGAUGCACCGACGAUCGAAAUUACUGCACCGGAGCCUCUGGUGGUCGAAAUUACUGCAUCGGAGCCUCCUCGCUACCCCGUGGACGAUAUAAAGGAGAUGAAAGAAUGUCAUCUGUAUUAUCCUAUCGGGAACAUGUCCAUGAAGGUAGCCAUCGGCAGUGCUUUACCAUGUUUACCUGGAGCACUCCACCACAACAACCCCAUUCAAGAUGGCUAUGCUCGUGUCACGGUGGAGGACAUAGUCCAAGGGUUUGAGGACCUGGAGAUUGACAUUGCUACACCUGAAGGGGAGAAAAGACUUGGAGAUGUCAAGCGCCAUUUCAUUCUAUGGCAAAAGAAGUUUAUCAAGUUUCCAGGCGAGGCGCCAAGGACAACAAGUCCACCCCCCUACGGUGGUGGUGGUGGCGGUGGUGGUGGUGGUGGUGGUGGUGGCGGUUCACCUACACCUCCGUCACGUCAGUCGACGCCCCUCAGUCCACAACGUCCGGCGGGUGAUCAGACGCCGCCCCCCAGUCCUCGUCCGGCGGGUGAUCAGACGCCGCCCCCAGUCCUCGUCCGGUGGGUGAUCAGCCGACGCCCCCCAGUCCACAACGUCCGGCGGGUGAUCAGACGCCGCCCCCCAGUCCUCGUCCAGCGGGUGAUCAGACGCCGCCCCCCAAUCCACCUCCGGCAAAGAAGCAGAAGCAGUCCUGGAUUAUUAACCCGGACCCUUAUGUACCUAAGACCACAAAGGUACCGGAGCCAUCACUGAAGCCUCUCCCCACAAGGCCUUGGGAACGUAGUGCCGAGGAAACUGCCGCGGCCGCGGCUGCUGAUCAUGACAAAUGGAAGGCGGACUGCAAGAAGAAAAGAGAGCCCGAGCCCAAGCCAGUAUUUUCUGAUGAGCAAAAGAAGUGGGCUAAGUCAUUUUUGAGCACACCGUCCCAAGCCGCGAAGAAUCUGCCUGACGACUAUGCACGUGAACUUCGUAGGCAGGCACUCAUGUUGAAGGAGAAGAAAGAGCGGGCGGAGAACCAGGAGAACAAAGCCUUGGAGGAGGCCGAGAAAACGGAAUUAGAAAGUAAAAAAGCGGGAAACGAGUUGCCCAGCUCGGGGAACAAAGUAAACAAUCGAUUGCCCCGCUUAUAGUGAAAGCCGCCGGUCCGGAUGACCCCGAUAUCAUAGUAGCUGCGGCAGCACAUGGAUUGACUGUAACGAGUGCCAGAGAACAAGUGGCCAACUUAGGUAUUACUCUUCGUGAACUGUUAGGCCUUGAUGAGGCGCCAGUGAAGGAGGUAGUAAUUACAUAUGUGAAGAAUGGGCCUCUCGUCGAGCCUGCGCAGGAAAAGGAUCUACCUCCACAAAUGAAAGGUCUGCUGAAAUGGUACAAGGGUUACAUAAAAAAUAAAAACGCCAAAGAAUAUAUUUAUGCGGAAGUUAGAUAUGAGCAUCACUUCAAACAUUACUAUGUACAAAUUCUUCUGAGUGAAUUGUUCCAGCUUUUCAAUCUGCGCGAGCUCGACAAAUCUAUCAUCAGUUGCUACGUUCUGUAAGUGAUUUAUUUCUACCCCAUCUCGUUCAUAUUGCCUGCACUAUAUAUAUGUCCUAACUAUAUUGUUGUGUCCGCUAUUAUACAUGCAGAAUGAAGAUUAAGGAAUGCAGAGUAAGGAACAUCCAUGAUGUUGGGUUCAUUGACCCACACAUCGUUAAUGGAUAUGUGUUGGAGCAUCACCCCGCCGACAUGGAGGCAGACCUGUGGCAGUUUCUUACAAAGCAGGAACUCAAAAGUGAUAUUCUAUUUCCUUACCAUUUUGGGUGAGUGUUUCUGUCUUGAGCACAUUCUCUUUUGUUUACUCCAUGCAUGGUAUGUGGCUGGCUAAUCGAUGAGUUAUGCAUGACGUACUGUGCAUGUAUCGUGUCCGCAGGUUUCACUGGAUUCUGCUAGUAAUUAAAGUUGACACCUCAGAAUGUCUCGUCCACGACUCUCUGAAUAUGGAUCCAAAGCUUUGGGGCGGCAUGAGAAGAAUGCUGCAGAAGUAAUUAUUUUCAUUCAUUUGCGCUCUAUAUCGAUCGGCCUAUUUCGUUCAUUUCCUAAUAUCAAGUAACUAAUAACUCUCUUGUUCAUUUAAUUUUCUUUGCCUCGUAGGGUUUGGAGACGGUUCGUAGAUACAAAGGUCGGUGAAUUCAAAAAAGAGCUAGAAUUCAAAAGGUCAAAGGCUAAGAAUGCUGGGGAUAUUCAGCCAGCGGGGACCAAUCUAUGUGGAUACUAUGUCUGUGAGAUGAUCCGGAGAUACACCUCUGAGCGGGUUCCGAGUGAUACCAAUGCUCAGAGGAAUAACCUCCGGAUGAUGCUUAGUCCAGAAGCUCGCUUCCGACCACUUCAAGAGGAACUAGCUGGAUGGUUCAGCAGGGAAGUCCUCCAUUCUAAAGGAGAACACCAUUACGAGGACGUAGAACUUUAUAUGCAUUAAAUUAUGUAUGGAAACUUGUUCAAAAUUGUAUAUGGUCAUCCGAUGAUAUUGAAUAUAUAUUGUAUAUUCCUCUUGAAUUCUUUUUGGUUCUAAUUUCAAAUUUGUUUGAAAUUGUACAUUCAUAUGCAUGUAUGUAGUACCGUAGAAUAUGUGAAACUCCUUCAAAAUUAAAAUAAAGCACAAAAGAAAUAAAACAAUACAAAUUAAACAGAAAACAGGUUUAGGGGGGGGGGCUAAAACCCUAAACCUGUGGCGGCCUUUAGUCGCGGUUGGCCAGAAGAACCGCGACUAAAGGUCCUCCGCCCCGACGGCCGCCUGGCGCCCACGUGGACGGGCCUUUAGUCGCGGUUCUUAAGCAACCGCGACUAAAGUGGGGGUCCUUUAGUCGCGCCUAUUUGGUCGCGGUUGCGCAACCGCUACUAAUGGCAGUUGCGAACCGCGACCAAAGGCCCUUUUUCCACUAGUGGUGGAGUAAUGUUCGUAAAUUAUAUAUUGCUUUCAAGUUUGGAGCUGGAAUAAUAUAUGUGCUGCAUUUAGUUAUAGUCUUAUAGAUAUACAUGAACAUCCAUUGUAUAUUUCUUGCAAGACAUGGUAACUACUAUUAUUUUGAUUGUUUCCGUGAACUAUUUUGACCUUGAUUAAGAAGUAGAAAGUUUUUAGCCUCGUAGGUUGUUUGAUCUACUAUAUCAAGUGGCACUUGGCUUCUCAUGGCUCUCCUCGCAUUUGCCAAAACAAAAUUAGUACACACUACCUAGAGCUCUGGAAAUUAGAACUGAAAAAUGGUCCUGCGGUUUAUUAGCUGAUAUAAAUCAUGCACAAUCCUCUACAUUUAAAAAUAAACCGGACACAAAGCAGUAUACUUUUUUCCGAGUACUACCUUGAGAGAGCCAAGGGGUUCUGCAUUUUAUAAAGAAGAAGAAAGUUGCCCGGUUCCAUACAUGCUUAUCUGAGAAAUAUAUCUUAUCUAUCUAGUGGAAACCAGGCAAAAACCUACAGAUACAAAAGGCACAAAGUCCCCCACCGGUCGUGACCGAACUACUGUUUUUGGAAAUAUAAAAUGAGCUAGAUUACUAACAUUGAUGUAAUGCUUGUAUGUCAACCUAUUCCUUUAUCGGUUCAAUUACAGAGUUUUGUUAUUAUGUGAAUGGAGUAAUGGAGAGCUAAGAAAAAACAAGGUAACAGUUAGUGUUACUCUUGCGAGGUAGUUUCAAUCAUAUCAUUGUUUGCUUUCCCUUUUCUCCUGCCUAGGUAUGUACAAUUAUUCCAACCCAGGUUUCUUUCAAGAAGGAUAUGGGUAUGUGUUUGAGGAAUGUCUACAUGAUAAAACACACCUUCAAGUUUGGUGAUAGUUAUGCUAUCAAACUUACAAUGGGGGUCUUAAUUUGUAUUUUUAAUAGAGCACUGGGUUCAUUGGUGAGACUUGUGAGGAUGUGCCUAGGCUAAAGAUGGCUCCUAUGUCGGUACCAAGUGGCAUGUGUUUAAAUGGAGUAUCCUUGUCAGGAGAGCUGAUUUCUGAAAUAUGGUACUUUAUGGGUGCAAGGAUUCACCAUGUUGCGGUCUUCGUCAGCGAAGUGGACUCCUAGGAAUUAGUCAAGGCCGCUAUGUUGUUUUAAGCUGAUAUUCUAUUGUACUUGUAUUUUUUUUGCUUAUCUAGUUGUUUGCCAUGCAGUUCUCGUUGUUGGUGGGGACAUUUGUUGUCUAAGAUCGACCUCAAAUAUCUGGUGGCACUAUAGCAUGGCUUUUGAUAUUCUAAUGUAUAUCUCUUACAAAAUAUUUCAAGAGCCCGUGGCAACGCACGGGCAUUAUACUAGUGUAAGUAAGGAUGGAGAUGAAGAUGGUGUGGCGACAAGGAUAUAACAAAACGCCUGGUUCCUUCAGCCAAAAGUUGGCAACGUUCCUUGUUACACACGCUCCGCCCAACAAACGCUCCAAAAGCCAAAAUACAAUUCCUCAAACAACGGCCAAAGACUACUUCCCCACAUGGAAAAGAAAUACGCACAUGGCGUUACAAUGUUGGCUACUCAUGUCUGAGUUCCUAAACCCUUGCAAAACAGAAAGAAAGGUUGUUUGCUAAACAAAAGAAAGGCCAACACAAUCCUAUCCAAACACUCCACAUUUUUACUAUGUGGCAAAAAUAUGCAACUUUUUUUUGUUUUUAGGUACAUGCCAUUUAAAAAAAACACAAUUUUUUUAUGUUCACACGCCAAGGUAUUUUGUACACAUGGCAAAAUUUUCCGAAGAAGAAAAAUCUCACGACCCCAUGGAUAAUUCAUAACUUUUUGUCUUUCAAGCAGGGCAAUUUUAAGUCAUUUUGUAAUGCUAUUGUGGCAAACGAUGGGAUCUUUAAUCAAUUUUCAUGGCGAAUUUGGGAUUCUUUUCCCUACUUUUUCACAUGGCAAUUUUAUUAUGAUUAAAAUGGAGAUCUUAUUAUUCAAAACAUGGCAGCUUUACUAUUAAGAGCAUGGCAAUUUAAGUAUGAUAGAAUCUCCUCCCCUGCUCGGUCUACCCCACAUGCAUGGCGUAUAACAUCCUCUAGCCCCAAUUGCCGCCAAACCUCUUUAGCCUUAUGGCAUCGAAAUAGUACAUGAAACACAUCUUCUGCUCCUUGUUUACAUGUAGGACACGUCGGCCGGACUGGGAUGUGUCUAUUAGCAAGAACCACAUUGCAUGGCAGUGUUCCGUGUAAGGUUCUCAGAAGAAAAUUUUUAACUUUCGCCGGACAAUUCAGUUUCCAAACCUUUUCCCAUGUUGGGUUAGCACUAGUGGCUCCCAAACCAUCUGUCCUCUGCAAUUUACGACCAUGCUGAAAGUACCAUAGAGCAUGGUAGGCCGAUUUCACUGUAAAAAUUCCAUGUUUAUUCAAACUUCAUGCUACAAAGUCACUCAUAUCAUGUGUAGGUAGUGGUAAAGCAAGGACCCGUUCCACAUCAAUCGGCCAGAAGGUUUGCUCCACAAGUGGCACAUCCCAGUGACCUGUAGCUGGAUCAAUUAAAUCACUCACCUUUGAUAGUAACUGGUUACCUCUUGGGGUAAUAAUCAUUCUGGAUGGUGAGUUAGGAAUCCACGCAUCCCUCCAAACAUUUAUUUUUUCACCAUCCCCUACUCUCCAAAUGUAUCCAUGUUUCUGGGUAUUCACCCCUUGCAUAAUGCUUUGCCAAGUGUAGGAGGAAUUCUUUUUCAGCUUAAUUAAUUUACCAGCACAAGAAGCGGGGAGUGAAAAACUUCCAUGACUUGAUGUCCACUUGCUGCUGGUACCUUUGGUGGGAGAGGAGAAAGCUUGUGCACAAUGAGCCGGUACAAGAUGCGAAGAGAGUUGCGCAAGCGGUAUGUGCUUUAGCUGCUAACUAUGCUAUUGCAUGUGACCCAAAGGCCUCGUUAAAGAGGGGAGGUUGGUGCAAACCCCCUAGUGGAUAUGUCAAGUUAAAUGUUGAUGCGGCCUUUGAUUGGGAUUUGCUUCAGGGGGCGAUGGGAGCAGUCAUCCAGAUGAUAGAGGACAUAUGGUUGUAGCUGGAAACAAGCUCAUUGAUUCAUGUUAUGAUGUACUAACUGUUGAGGCAAUGGCUUUGAAGUUUGGGUUGAAUAUGGCGCUCACAGCUGGGUGCAAUAGACUGAUUGUCAACUCGAAUAAUCUGGAACUCAUGGAAAUAAUGAAUAAGGAUGGCCAAUAUGCUGGAGAUGCCGCGGCCAUUGUCGAUGAUUGUUAUCAUCUGGCUUGCGAAUUUAGCUCUAUUGUCUUCGAAUUUUGCCCCAGAGAGUCGAAUGGGGUUGCACAUGAACUAGCUAGGAUUGCUAGAAGUUCGCUUUGUAAUGAGUGGUUAGAUAAUGCUCCUUCUGAGCUUCUUCACCUCUACUUAAAGAUGUAAGUCUGAUCACGAAUGAAUAAAGAGGAAGUAAAGUUGUCAAAAAAAAAGAGCAUGACAAUUUUAUUUUUAAUGGCAUGUCAUUCUUACCUCUUUUUUUUUGAGAAAAGCAUGUCAUCUUUACUAUGUCCUUCUCGCCUGCUGUAUGAAGUAGGCGGACCCUAGAUGGGCUUUCCCAAUAUUGGUUCCUGGGACAGGGUUCAUGCAGAGUUUUUUUUUCCUGGGCCAAUUUUCAUCUUUUUGUUUGGUUUUCUGUCUUAUGUGUUUCUUUAUGGAUUUUAUUUCUUUCUCAAUACAUGUCCAUUUUUCUAAAUACACACUGUAAAAAUUUACACAUCUUGAACAUUUUUUAUUAAUUGGCAUAAACCUAUUUUUGGAGUGUGUGAGCAUUUUUUAAUUGUCAUGUACAUUUUUCUGAAAGGCAGUAUUUAUUUUGUUGAAUUACGUGAGCAUUCUUUCCACAUUGUAUGACAUUUUCUAAUAAUCUCACGUAUAUUUUUUGAAACACGCGAACAUAUUUUUGAAUGCUAUAAACAUUUUUUAUAUCAUGCUGCAUUUGGUCUAUAUUAGUUUAAACUAAGUCAGUGACAAUUAAUAUGGAUCAUAGAGAGUACAAUUUUGUACAUGAUGUUUAUACUUUUAUAUUUCACUUUCAACAUUUUUUAUUUGUUAAACUCUAUUGUGUUUUUGGAAUAAGUGUAUUUAGAAUAUAUUUUUUUAAAUGUAAAUAAAAUGGAGCGAAUGAAGAAGCAGAGAAGAAAAACGAAGGCCGGCCAAAUGUAUGGCGUUCCCUGCCUCAUACCUGCAAAUCAAGCUAAGCAGCGGGUGAUAAUUUUUUACACAAUGUUUAUAGUUUUCUAUUUCACUUUGAACAUUUCAAAAUUUUAAGGAAAUUAUUAUUUUUAAAUAAAUGUUUUUAGUUUUUUUAAUAAAAAGGUGAAAAAAAGGAAAUUGAGCGAAUGAAGAAGCAGAGAAGAAAAACGCCCUUUCUUUCAUCAACUGAACUGCGUGCGUGCAUGGAAGGGCUAUCAUCUGCACUUAAGAGGAGUGACUUACCUAUCAUUGUGGAGAUGGACUCUAUUCUUGCAGUCAAACUGAUCCAAUCGAGGGAUUUGGACAAAUCUAUUUAUGCUUGGAUAGUUAAGGUGAUCAAGUAUGUUUUGGGGAUUCGUGGUUCUUGUAUUACUCAUGUAAAUCGCUCUUAAAAUAAAGUUAGCGACUGCUUAGCUAGAUUUGCUAAAUUAGAAGGACAAAGCAUGACUUGGGUUGGUUCUGGUCCAGAUGUUGCUGUUGAGCCAGCUAUUGCUCAAUGUAUGGACACCAUGAGUUGAGUAAUGCAAAAAAAAAAAAAAAGUUUGCGCAGAAUUAUUUUCGACCUGCCUCAUAUCUCUACUCUUAAUGGACGACUUGGUGAAUAGUCUUCAUGGUUUAUUUUCGCUGUUUUUUUUUGUCAUCCUCCCACCUCACGGUUUCAAAAAAACCAACCAAAACCAGAGGCCCGUCCCACGAAACGAAACCCAAUUUGCCCCCGUACCAUCACUCCUCCCUCUCCCUCUACCUCCCUUGUCUAGGGUUCCCCGCCACCACUGCGGCAUCCGCCGCCGAAUCCUAGGUCGCCGCACACCGUCGCCGCCGCCGCGAAUCCCCAGGGACGCCGCACGCCACCGCCGUCGCGAAUCACCAGAGACGCUGCACGCUGCCGCCGCGGAUCCCCAAGGGCGUGGUCGCAUUGUACUAGACAAAGUGUGGUCGCCGUCGUCCUCUCCUCGUCCGACCUUGACCUCAUCCCUUCGACUCCGGUGACUCCUCUGUGGCCCGGGCGGCCCUGGCCGACGCCGUCACAGCCAACGCCGGCCUCACCUCUGCGGCCUCACGCACUGCCGCCGCCGAGGAGCCGGCCUGAUAGGUUUGAACCAUCCCUUGAUCCCUCGAGUAUUCUGCGUCCCUUGAUGGCUCGAUUCCUUGUCUUCUCCAUCUAUCAAUCCCUCGCAUCCUUGCAUGCUACGAAGAGAAUGGUUCCCUUUCUACAGGGUCUGGUGUGAAAGAGUUGGAGCAAGGAGGACGUGUGCGGCCACUUCGCGCUUCGGCGAGAUCCUCAAGGUUGUCAUCGCAGACAAGGGCACUGGAAGAUCCAAGGGCGGCGGAUUCGUGAGUACCGCCCAAACAAUUCUCUCCUCCCCUCAUCAUCGAUUGAUCUUCCUGUAGUUAAUUUUCUUGCUUAAUUCAGCCCCGUUAGUUGAUGCUAUGCCUGGAUGGAUGCUUGGCAUGUUACGUUCCAGGAAGCGGAGGCGGCCAUUAGGGCGUGCUUGGGUCCGUACCCGGUGAUUGACGGCCGGAGGGCCAACUGCAACCUCGCCUGCCUCGAGGUCCAAGGCGCCACAACGAAAACGCCCGCCUCGAUACUCAGCUUCAAGGGAUGUGUCCUGCCACGGGUAGUGCCAUCACACCGGCACAAUGAACUCCCGUGCAACCCAGCAUCCGCAUUGAGACAUCUUUCUUGGCGCUGCCAUUGCUGCCGUACUCUGACAGUCCAUGCAUUGACGCAUCGAUUCAGAAGGUGAGCCCCAGCGACGGCUCCGGAAGAAGGGAUUGGCUGCAGCUGAUUUGGGAGGCCCAGUCGGGGAGAGCAGGGAGGAGGAGCAUCGAUGAUAUUCCUCCCGUCCCAUAGCCAAAGGGAGUGUCAGCGCACCCAGCGGCGGCACAUCUUGCGGCAGCAAUUGACGUAUCGUACCAGGCGGCUGUGUAGCUGGUGAAGUGGUGAGUGCAAAGUGUUUGUGCUAAUGAUUGAGCGGAGUUAUCUUAUGAUUGUCAUAUCACACUAUUUACGAGUAGUAAUGCUUAACUCCGUUGCCUUAGCGUGUGAUUGUGUCAUGUCCGUGACAAUACUAAUGCUCAAUGUUGUUGCCCGAGAGGCCCUUUUUGUAGUUAUCAUAAACGAGUAGGCAGCAUGUAAGAGCACCCACAGUGCUUAGAUGUAUGCUCAUUGCCCUUAAGCAGUGCGUUCUUGUCAACUCACAAGAUUGUACUAUUGUAUUUUGUAGGUACAUCUGAAGAUUCAUCUGCAGUUAGGUAGAAAAUGAUUCAUGUUUUACAUCCAAAAGUUAUACAUUUUUCAGGCUGUAAGCACCUUUAAAGUUAUUCAUGCAUACUUUUUUCAGGCUGUAAACUGCACCCUUAUAGUUAUUCAUGCCUUUUCUUUUAUAUAGUCGUGAUACUUAGAAUACUUAUAUAUUGUCAGUUAUAGGUAAUAUGUUCCAUCAAACAGGAGUUUACUCAGUAUUCAAUAAGAUAUUUUAUUUUUAAUAGUUAUAAGAGGAGACCUGCAUGAAAAACAAGAGUGCAGUUGGUUCAAUCAAAUAGAACUGCAGGUUGAUGGGGGUGGUUUAAUAAAAAGAAAAAGAUGAAAUAGAUUGGUGUUUAUUUAUUCUCUGCGGAAAAUUUUGGGCUCUUUUGUUAUGCUUGCAACUUUGUUUUGGAAUAGGGUAGUUAAAGUGUACUUUUCUUAUGGAAGGCAUGAAAAAGCAUGCGUAGCUAAUUACAACUCAGAAACAAAUGUCUUUGUUUCAAAAAUGACAAUGACGGAAUAAAUUGUUUCAAAAAAUAACUACAAAAAUCUAAAAAUCUAAACAUAGUGAUCAGAUGAACACGGUGGCCACUGAUGAUGUUGGAAUUAGGAUAAGUAGCGAGAUGGGUGGGAGGGCAUGUUGAAGUAGAGAACAUGGACUUGCGGGGAGGAGGGGUGCUUACUUGAGCCAAUUUAUUAGAUUAAGGGUGUGCAUGACUUUUUCCAUAUGCACGAAUUAUUAGUUAGUGAGAAUUAAGCGCCAUGCAUUCUUGGUUUGAUUGUUAUUCGUCGACCAUGAGCAAGAAUCUGUCAAUUAAUUAGAUGCUUUAAUUAACUUAUAUGUAAUGGCAGGGUGUCCAUGUUGAACGGAAACGCCUAUGGUUGCCCUUCAAGCACUAACAAAUUGGAAAUUCCAAGCCCUGCUGAGAUUACGAGCAGAGUGGAAAGGGAAUCAACACCAUCACGCCAAAACAUUGAAGGUGAAUAAGUGGACCACUAUCUAAGUAAAUAGACGAACCAUAUUUUGUUAGAACUAAGCAGUUGCUGCUAAUAUAAUCCUCUCCAGCAAGAUCAGUUUCGGACAAUAUAAUUUGCUAUUCACUUUCUAUGUGUUUAAGCAUGCUCAAACUCAAUACAAAUGAACAUAAUUCUUUUUUUUAGGUCAUUGCAUGACAAAUAAGAAUACUUACAUCACUGAAUUUCUGAUGUUUUUCUGUCGGAAGUUAGUUCAGUUAGGCACUUCUAAUUGCUUAAGCUCGAUUUCACUCAAGUUUGAUAUAAUCUGCAGGAGCAAUCCAAGAGCUAAAAACUACAGUGAUCUCACUAUUCACCAAGUAUUGUUAUUUUCUCUACCUACGUCCUAAUCAGGUGUGUCACCUUGUGUUGACUUUGCCUACUGAAUUAUAACGAGUCUUGAACUUUGUUAUCUGAUUUUCCUUAUCCUACUUCUUAGCUUUUCAUGCUAUUCUGCGCGCUGUGCAUAAUGUGCAUUUCUUGUUAUUUGCUAAUGUGUACUGGACAAGCGCGGCAGCAAAUUCAUAGUGUGCAUUUCUUGUUAUUUGCCAAUGGUUGUACUGGACAAAGCAUGGUCUUUUGUCCAAACACAUCCCUUAUGUUAUGUCCAAAAUUAGGUUGUUAGUCCUUUUUAGUGGGGUGCACUUAUAUCUCAAUUUUUCCUCCAGUUGUUUAUUACAUAUUGUGAUAUUGGUACAAAGGCUGCCACAAAAGACGAGCAUGUCUGGAUCAGCAAUAUGUCAGGUGNNNNNNNNNNNNNNNNNNNNNNNNNNNNNNNNNNNNNNNNNNNNNNNNNNNNNNNNNNNNNNNNNNNNNNNNNNNNNNNNNNNNNNNNNNNNNNNNNNNNNNNNNNNNNNNNNNNNNNNNNNNNNNNNNNNNNNNNNNNNNNNNNNNNNNNNNNNNNNNNNNNNNNNNNNNNNNNNNNNNNNNNNNNNNNNNNNNNNNNNNNNNNNNNNNNNNNNNNNNNNNNNNNNNNNNNNNNNNNNNNNNNNNNNNNNNNNNNNNNNNNNNNNNNNNNNNNNNNNNNNNNNNNNNNNNNNNNNNNNNNNNNNNNNNNNNNNNNNNNNNNNUAAAACACAUAGACUGUUUUUAUUUUACUAAAAUGUCUACUGCCGACGCAUGUUUGAACUGAAAUGUAUUCUGUUAACAAUUUAUGCUUUACCUUAAUUUCUGCUUUGUGUGCAGGCCCUAGCAGAGCUUGAACCUUCUUCAGCAAAUAAGGGUCACUGAGUUCUUAUAGUCAGUCACUGGACCACAAUGGUUGAUAUCCUUCAAUGGACACUGGAAGUAAUAUGAGCUACAGAUAUGCGUCUCAAUGGGGGGUUAUUUCUUUCCUCAACAAGUUACAGUACAGUAGCAAAGGUAAAGUGAACACACAACUUGAUUGUAUGGUUCUUAGAAUGUCACUGUACUCAGAGGCAGAGGACGAAAAAAAAUUAAGGUGUGGCGAAAUCUUAGGAAAAUAUUUUUUUUGAUGCAAAUUGAAAUAGUCAAUACAAAGUACAAACGAAAAACCAAAUACAAUGAAAAUGUAGACAUGUUUCAAUAGAAAAACAACCUAAAACAUACCAAUAAUCAAGUUUUCAAUGGCGUCUAGAAGACCUAGGUAAUGGCAAUGACCUACCCUCCUUCUGAAAAUCUUCCUUAAUUUUACUAUCAAUACUUUUGAAGAUCUCUCGCUCAAUAUAACAAACCAUCAAGUCACUUGAUCUUCAUGAGUGACAUGUGCCCAAACAUUGACACUUUAGCGGGUGCUUGGAUUCGAUUUCGAGCUGCUGCCACUACCAUUACUUCAAAAUACUUUGUCAAAUAUGCAAUCCAUAACAUCAAUUUGUAACUCAAUUCUGAUUGGUUUCAAGCUGCUGUUAUGCUACAAAUUUUCAUAGACAUGAGCAAUCUACCGCUUCCACCCCAUUCCUUUGGAUUUGCUGGUCCCUUCCCCUCCUUUUCCAUCUUAUGGCCAGAACUGCACCGGACUGGAGCCGCCGCCGUCAGCUGCCCCGUCGUCGGUCACCCGCCUGUUCAUCAGCCCAAUUUUCAUUACAUUUAUUACAAAAACUAAACUUUGCUAGCUCAUGAGCUACUGAAUUAGCAUCACGAAAACAGUGUGAAAAGAUGACCUUCCCUAUCACUAGUAGAAAACGGAGCUUUAAAACCGGUUUGUAAGGGCCUUUAGUGCCGGUUAUGGAACCGGCACUAAAGUGUGGGCACUAAAGGCCCCCCCCUAGUACCGGUUCGGCAUGAACCGGCGCUAAAGUGCCACCACGUGGCGUGAGCUCGCGCCCUGGUAUGGGGGACCUUUGGUACCGGUUGGUGUUACCAACCGGUACUAAAGGUUUUUUUUGAAUUUUUUUUUUGAAAAUUUCGGAAAAAAAUUUUGAUUUUUUUUUUGAUUUUUAAUUUUUCUGAAUUAUUUGAUGAUUUAGUCUCUAAUCACCUCUCUUAACUGCUCAAGUGUGGAUCACUCAUUCCAAAUCAUCUAACUGUUGGGGAACGUAGUAAUUUCAAAAAAAAAAUCCUACGCACACGCAAGAUCAUGGUGAUGGCAUAGCAACGAGAGGGGAGAGUGUAUGUCCACGUACCCUCGUAGACCGUAAGCGGAAGCGUUAGCACAACGCGGUUGAUGUAGUCGUACGUCUUCACGAUCCGACCGAUCCAAGCACCGAACGUACGGAGCCUCCGAGUUCAGCACACGUUCAGCUCGAUGACGUCCCUCGAACUCCGAUCCAGCCGAGUGUCGAGGGAGAGUUCCGUCAGCACGACGGCGUGGUGACGAUCUUGAUGUUCUACCAGCGCAGGGCUUCGCCUAAGCUUCGCGACGAUAUGACCGAGGUGGAAUAUGGUGGAAGGGGGCACCGCACACGGCUAAGGAACGAUCCGUAGAUCAACUUGUGUGUCUAUGGGGUGCCCCCCGCCCCCGUAUAUAAAGGAGCCAGGGGGGAGGAGGCCACCGGCCUAGGGGGCGCGCCAAGGGGGGAGUCCUACUCCCACCGGGAGUAGGACUCCCCUUUUCCAAGUUGGAGUAGGAGAGAAGGAGGAAAGAGGGGAGGAGGAGAAGGAAAAGGGGGGGCGCCGCCCCCUUUCCCUUGUCCUAUUCGGACUAGGAGGGGGAGGGGCGCGCGGCCCCCCUCCUUGCUCCUUCCUCUUCUCCCUCUUGGCCCAUGUAGGCCCAUUAACCUCCCCGGGGGGUUCCGGUAACCUCCCGGUACUCCGGUAAAAUGCCGUUUUCACCCGGAACCAUUCCGAUGUCCAAAUAUAGGCUUCCAAUAUAUCAAUCUUUAUGUCUCGACCAUUCCGAGACUCCUCGUCAUGUCCGUGAUCACAUCCGGGACUCCGAACAAACUUCGGUACAUCAAAACUUAUAAACUCAUAAUAAAACUGUCUGUUAGAGUCAGAUCCUCCGACGGAGCCGCAUAGUAAUGAACAACGUGGAGUGCAAGUCAAGCAGCUACCAAAUAGAUAGUUUCCAUCUCUGUUGGUCUAUUCGUAUUGUAUACAAACUCUGUAAUUUUUGGAUGCAUAUAUAUACGAGGAGGCUGUACCGUGGCUGGCAUUGAGCCGCCCGGUGUAUUCCAAUUUACGUGGUAUCAGGCCACAUCGUUCCUCUCCUGUCAAGACUCGAUCUCAAAACCUAAUCGCCGCCGCCGUUGCCGUUGCCACCAUCGUCGCUUCCCACAGCCUCCUUCUUCUCUGCCACCAUGAACGCUGACGACCUCAAGAAGCUUGAAGAGGAGCUCAAGCAACGCGAGUCCAUCAUCAGAACUCGCGAGGAAGAACUCCGGUGUCUUGCCGAGGAGCGCGGCAAGAUAGUUCUCGCAUCCACCCCUGCACCUGUUCCUGCACCGUCCUCCUAUGCUGCUUCAAUCAAGACAUAUGUUCCCAUCACUCUUGAUCUUCAGGAUUCCAACUACGCCAAAUGGCGUGAGCUUUUUCUCGUGGUCCUUGGGCGCUACGGCCUCUCCAGCCACGUCGGCGGCGGCGGCGCCGCCGACGCCACCCCCUCCGACACGUCGCCUACCUUGGAUUGGGGACGCGAUGACUACACGGUGCUCUCCUGGAUCUACGGUUCGGUCUCCAUCGAGCUCUUCGGCAUCAUCAUGGCUCCCGGCUCCACGGCGCGGCAAGUCUGGGACUCCAUUGCCAACCUCUUCCACGACAAUAAGAAAAGCCGCGCCUUAGCCCUCGAUGCCGAGUUCCGCAACACUCCACAAGGGGACAUGUCUAUUCAUGACUACUGCGCCAAACUCAAGUCUCUUGCCGACGCUCUCGGUGAUGUCGGCCAAAAUAUCACCGACGAGACGCUCGUCCUCACAGUGCUCCGCGGCCUCAAUGAACAAUUCAGUCAUCUUCGGUCUUUUCUACUGUUCCAGGUGCCGUUCCCAUCCUUCCUGCAGACACGUUCCGCUCUCGUCCUCGAGGAGACGCAGAAAAAGACGGACGCCAAGAACGCGGCGGCAACCGCACUCUGGGCAAGCAGCAACAGCAUCCUCCCUCAUGCUGGCGGGGAGCGUGCUCCUUCUUCUAGCCGCGGCACUGGCUACAACAACAGCGACUCACGCAACGCCGCCACACACUCCACCACGCCCUACCCCAACCCUGGCCGCGGCAGUGGAAAUGGCGGACGCCGCGGACGUGGAGGCGGCCGCGGACGAGGCCGCGACAAUCCUUGGAUGUUCAACCCAUGGACCGGCCUCCCGACUCGGGCUCAACAACAACAACAACAUCCUCCCACUGCACCGUGGCAGCCCCGCUGGCGUGCUCGCAGCGCCGGCGUCCUUGGUCCUCACCCCGGUGCAGCUCCUUUCCAGGCGUACACUGCAUAUGGUCAGCAACACACCAACAACGGUGGCAUGAUGCCGUCACCAUCUACAAGCUAUCCAGGAGGUCACCAGCAACUUGAUCCAGCCUUGCUGAACGCACUUCAGAACAUGCAGCUUCCUGGCAAUCAAGAGUGGUACAUGGACUCUGGAGCAUCAUCCCAUAUGGCAUCCGAUCAUGGUAUUCUCUCCUCCUCCCAACCCUCCUCUGCUCACACCGUCACUGUUGGUAACGGUGCCUCCCUUCCCAUCUCUCACAUCGGCACACACACCCUGCCCUCUCUUUCGAAACAUUUAUAUCUUAACAAUGUUCUUGUCGUUCCACAUAUCAUCAAAAAUCUUCUUUCCGUUCGCAAACUUACCACUGAUAAUUUUGUUUCGAUAGAAUUUGACCCUUGGGGUUUUUCUGUGAAGGCACUUCCCACAAGGAUCGAGAUUCUUCGAUGCAAUAGCUCCGGACCACUCUACCCAGUAUGUCGUCCCACGCCCGCCGAAGCACAUGUCAUCACCACCACCCUCGACCUUUGGCAUCGCCGACUUGGACACCCCGGUCAUCACACCAUGAAGCGUCUUCAAAGUUCUUGCCAUAUCUCCUACAAUAAAAUCAUGCCAUCCAUUUGUCAUGCUUGUCAGCUUGGGCGACAUGUUAGAUUACCCUUUUAUCCAUCUGUUUCUUAUAUUAGCAAACCUUUUGCAUUAUUACACUGUGAUCUUUGGACUUCUCCCGUACCCAGUACAUCUGGCUUUGCCUAUUAUCUUAUAAUUGUCGAUGAUUUCACUCAUUAUUUUUGGACUUUCCCACUGCGCAAGAAAUCUGAUGUCUAUGCAACACUUCUCACCUUUCAUGCUUACGCUCGCACUCAAUUUAAUCUAUCUAUUUUAGCUUUCCAAUGCGACAAUGGACGAGAGUUUGACAAUACAAAAAUAGAUACUUUCUGUGCCUCUCACGGUAUUCUCCUUCGCUUCUCCUGUCCAUACACCUCUCAACAAAACGGCAAGGCUGAAUGAGCUAUUCGCACCACCAACAAUGUCAUACGUACCCUUCUGGUCCAAGCUUCUCUCCCCCCAUCCUUCUGGGCCGAAGCACUACACACUGCCACCUUUCUUAUAAACAUUAGACCGACGUCGUCUACCAAAUUUCUCACACCAUAUGCAACUCUUCUUGGUUCGUCACCCCCAUAUGACUCACUUCGUGUGUUUGGUUGCCUCUGUUACCCUAACACUACAUCCACAUCUUCCAACAAACUAUCUCCACGCUCCACAAAAUGCAUCUUUCUUGGGUACCCGACACGCCAUAGAGGUUAUCGGUGUCUUGAUUUAACCACACGACGGAUCAUCAUCUCUCGUCAUGUGGUUUUUGACGAGUCCUCCUUCCCCUAUGCACCCGCCCCCAUUCCUAAUCCACCACGUUGUACAGAAAUUUUCGACCCACCUGAACCAAUCCAUCCGCUUGUUCCCCCUGCCAUGCAUGCAUCCCCUCCACCUGCGCCAGCUAUGCAUGCGCCUGCUAUGCAUGUGCCCAACACCCCGCCACCAACGCCUCAUUCUUCUGGCUCGUCUUCGACCCCGCCUACUAGCACCCCGCUCGCUUCUCCACCACCGGGCUCUUCCUCUACUCACGGGGUGCAGCCUAGCCCACCUGUGCAAUCCACCCCACCUGGCUCGCCAUCCCCUAACCCCAUACCACCGCCCGCUCCACUACAUCGUACACGCUCCACUACUGGCCGGCUUCCUCCACCCAUCGACCGCCUUAACCUCUCUGCUAUUGCUUCUUCUCCACUCCCACACAACUAUCUUAUGGCAUUACGCGAUCCCAACUGGCGUCAAGCCAUGCAAGAAGAGUUUGAUGCUCUCAUCCUAAAUAAAACAUGGACUCUUGUUCCUGCUCCUCCCGGUGCAAAUGUUGUGAGUGGUAAAUGGAUUUUUCGCCAUAAAUAUCAUGCCGACGGCUCUCUCGCUCGUCACAAGGCUCGUUGGGUAGUCCGUGGUUUUACGCAACAACCAGGAAUUGACUUUGAUGAAACCUUCAGUCCUGUUGUUAAACCUGCCACUAUUCGCAUUGUUCUCUCUCUUGCUAUCUCUCAAUCUUGGCCCAUACACCAGCUUGAUGUAAAAAAUGCCUUCCUCCAUGGCCAUCUUGAUGAAGUUGUCUAUAGUCAACAACCCUCUGGCUUUGUUGAUCCACGUCACCCCACUUAUGUGUGUCGUCUUCUUAAAUCUCUAUAUGGUUUAAAACAAGCUCCCCGCGCAUGGUUUCAGCGGUUUGCCACCUUUGCGCGCUCCAUUGGGUUCGUUGAAUCCAAAUCCGAUGCCUCUCUUUUCAUUUUUCACCAGGGCACCAACUUAGCAUAUCUCCUUCUUUAUGUCGAUGACAUCAUUCUUACUGCCUCCACCCCAUCUACUCUUGCUACUAUCACACAUGCCAUGGCACGUGAAUUUGCUAUGAAGGAUCUUGGCCCCCUACAUCACUUCCUUGGCAUUUCUGUUACACGUACUUCUAGCAGCCUCCACCUCUCUCAACGAAACUACAUUCUUGACAUCUUGAAUCGUGCAGGCAUGCGUGAUUGUCAUCCCGUCCCUACACCUAUUGAUACCAAAGCAAAACUCUCCUCCACAUCUGGGUCCCCUGUUUCCGAUCCUUCUCAGUAUCGUAGCUUAGCUGGCGCACUACAAUAUGCUACACUCACUCGUCCCGACACUGCUUACGCCGUGCAACAAGUAUGUCUCCAUAUGCACGAUCCACGAGAACCCCAUUUCUCUCUCAUAAAAUGCAUUCUCCGCUAUCUUCAUGGCACUCUCGACCUUGGUCUUUCUCUGCAUCGCACUUCUUCUCACUCUCUCAUUGCCUACUCGGAUGCCGACUGGGCUGGUUACCCGGACACACGACGCUCUACGUCUGGAUUUUGCAUGUACCUCGGUGAUAAUCUCAUUUCUUGGUCCGCACAACGACAAACGACCGUCUCCCGCUCUAGUGCCGAGGCAGAGUACAGGGCAGUAGCUGCGGCUGUUUCAGAGUCAUGUUGGGUUCGGCAGCUCCUACAGGAACUUCGACGGCCGAUCUCGACUGCCACAAUUGUCUACUGUGAUAAUGUCAGUGCCGUCUACUUGUCUGCCAACCCCGUUCAGCAUCGACGGACCAAGCAUAUUGAGCUGGAUAUUCACUUUGUUCGGGAGAAGGUCGCCCUAGGAGACGUGCGCGUUUUACAUGUACCCUCGUCCUCGCAGUUCGCGGACAUUUUCACGAAGGGUUUGCCUACUACUCUUUUUCAAGAGUUUCGCUCCAGUCUUCAGGUCGAGAGCUCUCCCGGUUCAGACUGCGGGGGCGUGUUAGAGUCAGAUCCUCCGACGGAGCCGCAUAGUAAUGAACAACGUGGAGUGCAAGUCAAGCAGCUACCAAAUAGAUAGUUUCCAUCUCUGUUGGUCUAUUCGUAUUGUAUACAAACUCUGUAAUUUCUGGAUGCAUAUAUAUACGAGGAGGCUGUACCAUGGCUGGCAUUGAGCCGCCCGGUGUAUUCCAAUUUACACUGUCAUCAAAAACGUUAAGCGUGCGGACCCUACGGGUUCGAGAACUAUGUAGACAUGACCUAAAACCAUUCUCGGUCAAUAACCAAUAGCGUGACCUGGAUGCCCAUAUUGGUUCCUACAUAUUCUACGAAGAUCUUUAUCGGUCAAACCGCAUAACAACAUACUUUGUUCCCUUUGUCAUCGGUAUGUUACUUGCCCGAGAUUUGAUCGUCGGUAUCCAAUACCUAGUUCAAUCUCGUUACCGGCAAGUCUCUUUACUCAUUUCGUAAUAUGUCAUCUCAUAACUAACUCAUUAGUUACAUGCUUGCAAGGCUUAGGUGAUGAGUAUUACCAAGAGGGCCCAGAGAUACCUCUCCGACAAUCGGAGUGACAAAUCCUAAUCUCGAAUUAUGCCAACCCAACAUGUACCUUCGGAAACACCUGUAGAGCACCUUUAUAAUCACCCAGUUACGUUGUGACGUUUGGUAGCACACAAAGUGUUCUUCCGGUAAACGGGAGUUGCACAAUCUCAUAGUUGCAGGAACUUUGUAUAAGUCAUGAAGAAAGCAAUAGCAGUAUACUAAACGAUCAAGUGCUAGGCUAACAAAAUGGGUCAUGUCAAUCACAUCAUUCUCCUAAUGAUGUGAUCCCACUAAUCAAAUGACAACACAUGUCUAUGGUCAGGAAACAUAACCAUCUUUGAUUAAUGAGCUAGUCAAGUAGAGGCAUACUAGUGACUAUAGUUUUGUCUAUGUAUUCACAUAUGUAUCAUGUUUCCAGUUAAUACAAUUCUAGCAUGAAUAAUAAACAUUUAUCAUGAUAUGAGGAAAUAAAUAAUAACUUUAUUAUUGCCUCUAGGGCAUAUACCACUUGCACUAGAGUCAAUAAUCUAGAUUACAUAGUAAUGAUUCUAACACCCAUGGAGUCUUGGUGCUGAUCAUGUUUUGCUCGUGAGAGAGGCUUAGUCAACGGGUCCGCAACAUUCAGAUCCGUAUGUAUCUUGCAAAUCUCUAUGUCUCCCACUUGGACUUGGUUCCGAAUGGAAUUGAAGCGUCUCUUGAUGUGCUUGGUCCUCUUGUGAAAUCUGGAUUCCUUUGCCAAAGCAAUUGCACCAGUAUUGUCACAGAAGAUCUUCAUUGGUCCCGAUGCACUAGGUAUGACACCUAGAUCGGAAAUGAACUCCUUCAUCCAGACUCCUUCAUUUGCUGCUUCAGAAGCAGCUAUGUACUCCGCUUCACAUGUAGAUCCCGCCACGACGCUUUGUUUAGAACUGCACCAACUUACAGCUCCAUCGUUUAAUAUAAACACGUAUCCGGUUUGCGAUUUAGAAUCGUCCGGAUCAGUGUCAAAGCUUGCAUCGACGUAACCAUUUACGACUAGCUCUUUGUCACCUCCAUAUACGAGAAACAUAUCCUUAGUCCUUUUCAGGUAUUUCAGGAUGUUCUUGACCGCUGUCCAGUGAUCCACUCCUGGAUUACUUUGGUACCUUCCUGCCAAGCUUAUUGCUAAGCAUACGUCAGGUCUGGUACACAGCAUUGCAUACAUGAUAGAGCCUAUGGCUGAAGCAUAGGGAACAUUUUUCAUUUUCUCUCUAUCUUCUGCUGUGGUCGGGCAUUGAGUUUGACUCAACUUCACACCUUGUAGCACAGGUAAGAAUCCUUUCUUUGCCUGAUCCAUUUUGAACUUUUUCAAAAUCUUGUCAAGGUAUGUGCUUUGUGAAAGUCCUAUUAAGCGUCUUGAUCUAUCUCUAUAGAUCUUGAUGCCCAAUAUGUAAGCAGCUUCACCGAGGUCUUUCAUUGAAAAACUUUUAUUCAAGUAUCCCUUUAUGCUAUCCAGAAAUUCUAUAUCAUUUCCAAUUAAUAAUAUGUCAUCAACAUAUAAAACUAGAAAUGCUACAGAGCUCCCACUCACUUUCUUGUAAAUACAGGCUUCUCCAAAAGUCUGUAUAAAACCAUAUGCUUUGAUCACACUGUCAAAGUGUUUAUUCCAACUCCGAGAUGCUUGCACCAGUCCAUAAAUGGAACGCUGGAGCUUGCACACUUUGUCAGCACCUUUUGGAUCAACAAAACCUUCCGGCUGCAUCAUAUACAACUCUUCUUCUAGAAAUCCAUUCAAGAAUGCAGUCUUGACAUCCAUUUGCCAAAUUUCAUAAUCAUGAAAUGCAGCAAUAACCAACAUGAUUCGGACAGACUUAAGCAUCGCUACGGGUGAGAAAGUCUCAUCGUAGUCAACCCCUUGAACUUGUCAAAAACCUUUCGCAACAAGUCGAGCUUUAUAGACAGUAACAUUACCAUCAGCGUCAGUCUUCUUAAAAAUCCAUUUAUUCUCAAUGGCUUGCCGAUCAUCGGGCAAGUCAACCAAAGUCCAUACUUUGUUUUCAUACAUGGAUCCCAUCUCAGAUUUCAUGGCCUCUAGCCAUUUUGCGGAAUCUGGGCUCAUCAUCGCUUCCUCAUAGUUCGUAGGUUCAUCAUGGUCAAGUAACAUGACUUCCAGAAUAGGAUUACCGUACCACUCUGGUGCGGAUCUUACUCUGGUAGACCUACGAGGUUCAGCAGAAACUUGAUCUGAAGUUUCAUGAUCAAUAUCAUUAGCUUCCUCACUAGUUGGUGUAGUUGUCACGGGAACCGGUUCUCGUGAUGAACUACCUUCCAACAAGGGAGUAGAUACAGUUAUCUCAUCAAGUUCUACUUUCCUCCCACUCACUUCUUUCGAGAGAAAUUCCUUCUCUAGAAAGGAUCCAUUCUUAGCAAUGAAUGUCUUGCCUUCGGAUCUGUGAUAGAAGGUGUACCCAACAGUCUCUUUUGGGUAUCCUAUGAAGACACAUUUCUCCGAUUUGGGUUCGAGCUUAUCUGGUUGAAGUUUCUUCACAUAAGCAUCGCAGCCCCAAACUUUAAGAAACGACAACUUCGGUUUCUUGCCAAACCACAGUUCAUAAGGCGUCGUCUCAACGGAUUUUGAUGGUGCCCUAUUUAACGUGAAUGCGGCCGUCUCUAAAGCAUAACCCCAAAAUGAUAGUGGUAAAUCGGUAAGAGACAUCAUAGAUCGCACCAUAUCAAGUAAAGUACGAUUACGACGUUCGAACACACCAUUUCGUUGUGGUGUUCCAGGUGGCGUGAGUUGCGAAACUAUUCCGCAUUGUUUCAAAUGUAAACCAAACUCGUAACUCAAAUAUUCUCCUCCAUGAUCAGAUCGUAGAAACUUUAUUUUCUUGUUACGAUGAUUUUCUACUUCACUCUGAAAUUCUUUGAACUUUUCAAAUGUUUCAGACUUGUGCUUCAUUAAGUAGAUAUACCCAUAUCUGCUCAAAUCAUCUGUGAAGGUGAGAAAAUAACGAUAUCCGCCACGAGCCUCAACAUUCAUUGGACCACAUACAUCUGUAUGUAUGAUCUCCAACAAAUCUGUUGCUCUCUCCAUAGUUCCGGAGAACGGUGUUUUAGUCAUCUUGCCCGUGAGGCACGGUUCGCAAGUACCAAGUGAUUCAUAAUCAAGUGAUUCCAGAAGUCCAUCAGUAUGGAGUUUCUUCAUGCGUUUUACACCGAUAUGACCUAAACGGCAGUGCCACAAAUAAGUUGCACUAUCAUUAUCAACUCUGCAUCUUUUGGCUUCAACAUUAUGAAUAUGUGUAUCACUACUAUCGAGAUUCAAUAAAAAUAGACCACUCUUCAAGGGCGCAUGACCAUAAAAGAUAUUACUCAUAUAAAUAGAACAACCAUUAUUCUCUGAUUUAAAUGAAUAACCAUCUCGCAUCAAACAAGAUCCAGAUAUAAUGUUCAUGCUCAACGCAGGCACCAAAUAACAAUUAUUCAGGUCUAAAACUAAUCCCGAUGGUAGAUGUAGAGGUAGCGUGCCGACCGCGAUCACAUCGACUUUGGAACCGUUUCCCACGCGCAUCGUCACCUCGUCCUUGGCCAGUGCUCGCUUAUUCCGCAGUCCCUGUUUCGAGUUGCAAAUAUUAGCAACAGAACCAGGUUCAAAUACCCAGCUGCUACUACGAGCUCUAGUUAGGUACACAUCAAUAACAUGUAUAUCACAUAUACCUUUGUUCACUUUGCCAUCCUUCUUAUCCGCCAAAUACUUGGGGCAGUUCAGCUUCCAGUGGCCAGUCUGCUUGCAGUAGAAGCACUUAGUUUCAGGCUUAGGUCCAGACUUGGGUUUCUUCUCUUGAGCAGCAACUUGCUUGCCGUUCUUUUUGAAGUUCCCCUUCUUCUUCCCUUUGCCCUUCUUCUUGAAACUAGUGGUCUUGUUGACCAUCAACACUUGAUGCUCCUUCUUGAUUUCUACCUCCGCGGCUUCAGCAUCGCGAAGAGCUCGGGAAUAGUCUUGUUCAUCCCUUGCAUAUUAUAGUUCAUCACGAAGCUCUUGUAGCUUGGUGGCAGUGAUUGAAGAAUUCUGUCAAUGACACUAUCAUCAGGAAGAUUAACUCCCAGUUGAAUCAAGUGAUUGUUAUACCCAGACAUUUUGAGUAUAUGUUCACUGACAGAACUAUUCUCCUCCAUCUUGCAGCUAUAGAACUUAUUGGAGACUUCAUAUCUCUCAAUCCGGGCAUUUGCUUGAAAUAUUAACUUCAACUCCUGGAACAUCUCAUAUACUCCAUGACGUUCAAAACGUCGUUGAAGACCCGGUUCUAAGCCGUAAAGCAUGGCACACUGAACUAUAGAGUAGUCAUCAGCUUUGCUCUGCCAGACGUUCUUAACGUCGUCAGUUGCAUCAGCAGCAGGCCUGGCACCCAGCGGUGCUUCCAGGAUGUAACUCUUCUGUGCAGCAAUGAGGAUAAUCCUUAGGUUACGGACCCAGUCCGUGUAAUUGCUACCAUCAUUUUUCAACUUUGCUUUCUCAAGGAACGCAUUAAAAUUCAACGGAACAACAGCACGAGCCAUCUAUCUACAAACAAACAUAGACAAGCAAGAUACUAUCAGGUACUAAGUUCAUGAUAAAUUUAAGUUCAAUUAAUCAUAUUACUUAAGAACUCCCACUUAGACAGACAUCUCUCUAGUCAUCUAAGUGAUCACGUGAUCCAAAUCAACUAAACCAUAACUGAUCAUCACGUGAUAUGGAGUAGUUUUCAAUGGUGAACAUCAUUAUGUUGAUCAUAUCUACUAUAUGAUUCAUGAUCGACCUUUUGGUCUCCGUGUUUCGAGGCCAUAUCUGCAUAUGCUAGGCUCGUCAAGUUUAACCUGAGUAUUCUGCGUGUGCAAAACUGGCUUGCACCCGUUGUAGAUGGACAUAGAGCUUAUCACACCCGAUCAUCACAUGGUGUCUCGGCACGACGAACUUUGGCAACGGUGCAUACUCAGGGAGAACACUACUUGAUAAUUUUAGUGAGAGAUCAUCUUAAAAUGCUACCGUCAAUCAAAUCAAGAUAAGAUGCAUAAAGGAUAAACAUCACAUGCAAUCAAUAUAAGUGAUAUGAUAUGACCAUCAUCAUCUUGUGCUUGUGAUCUCCAUCUCCGAAGCACCGUCGUGAUCACCAUCGUCACCGGCGCGACAUCUUGAUCUCCAUCGUAGCAUCGUUGUUGUUUACGCCAUCUAUUGCUUCUACGACUAUCGCUACCGCUUAGUGAUAAAGUAAAGCAAUUACAGGGCGUUUGCAUUUCAUACAAUAAAGCGACAACCAUAUGGCUCCUGCCAGUUGCCGAUAACUUCGGUUACAAAACAUGAUCAUCUCAUACAAUAAAAUAUAUCAUCACGUCUUGACCAUAUCACAUCACAACAUGCCCUGCAAAAACAAGUUAGACGUCCUCUACUUUGUUGUUGCAAAUUUUACGUGGCUGCUACGGGCUUAGCAAGAACCGUUCUUACCUACGCAUCAAAACCACAACGAUAGUUUGUCAAAUAGACUCCGUUUUAACCUUCGCAAGGACCGGGCGUAGCCACACUCGAUUCAGCUAAAGUGAGAGAGACAGACACCCGCCAGUCACCUUUAAGCACGAGUGCUCGUAACGGUGAAAUCAGUCUCGCGUAAGCGUACGCGUAAUGUCGGUCCGGGCCGCUUCAUCUCACAAUACCGCUGAACCAAAGUAUGACAUGCUGGUAGGCAGUAUGACUUAUAUCGUCCACAACUCACUUGUGUUCUACUCGUGCAUAUAACAUCAACGCAUAAAACCUAGGCUUUGAUACCACUGUUGGGGAACGUAGUAAUUUCAAAAAAAAAUCCUACGCACACGCAAGAUCAUGGUGAUGGCAUAGCAACGAGAGGGGAGAGUGUAUGUCCACGUACCCUCGUAGACCGUAAGCGGAAGCGUUAGCACAACGCGGUUGAUGUAGUCGUACGUCUUCACGAUCCGACCGAUCCAAGCACCGAACGUACGGAGCCUCCGAGUUCAGCACACGUUCAGCUCGAUGAUGUCCCUCGAACUCCGAUCCAGCCGAGUGUCGAGGGAGAGUUCCGUCAGCACGACGGCGUGGUGACGAUCUUGAUGUUCUACCGGCGCAGGGCUUCGCCUAAGCUUCGCGACGAUAUGACCGAGGUGGAAUAUGGUGGAAGGGGGCACCGCACACGGCUAAGGAACGAUCCGUAGAUCAACUUGUGUGUCUAUGGGCUGCCCCCCGCCCCCGUAUAUAAAGGAGCCAGGGGGGAGGAGGCCGCCGGCCUAGGGGGCGCGCCAAGGGGGGGAGUCCUACUCCCACCGGGAGUAGGACUCCCCUUUUCCAAGUUGGAGUAGGAGAGAAGGAGGAAAGAGGGGAGGAGGAGAAGGAAAAGGGGGGGCGCCGCCCCCUUUCCCUUGUCCUAUUCGGACUAGGAGGGGGAGGGGCGCGCGGCCCCCUCCUUGCUCCUUCCUCUUCUCCCUCUUGGCCCAUGUAGGCCCAUUAACCUCCCGGGGGGUUCCGGUAACCUCCCGGUACUCCGGUAAAAUGCCGUUUUCACCCGGAACCAUUCCGAUGUCCAAAUAUAGGCUUCCAAUAUAUCGAUCUUUAUGUCUCGACCAUUCCGAGACUCCUCGUCAUGUCCGUGAUCACAUCCGGGACUCCGAACAAACUUCGGUACAUCAAAACUUAUAAACUCAUAAUAAAACUGUCAUCGAAAACGUUUAGCGUGCGGACCCUACGGGUUCGAGAACUAUGUAGACAUGACCUAAAACCAUUCUCGGUCGAUAACCAAUAGCGUGACCUGGAUGCCCAUAUUGGUUCCUACAUAUUCUACGAAGAUCUUUAUCGGUCAAACCGCAUAACAACAUACUUUGUUCCCUUUGUCAUUGGUAUGUUACUUGCCCGAGAUUUGAUCGUCGGUAUCCAAUACCUAGUUCAAUCUCGUUACCGGCAAGUCUCUUUACUCGUUCCGUAAUACGUCAUCUCAUAACUAACUCAUUAGUUACAUGCUUGCAAGGCUUAGGUGAUGAGUAUUACCGAGAGGGCCCAGAGAUACCUCUCCGACAAUCGGAGUGACAAAUCCUAAUCUCGAAUUAUGCCAACCCAACAUGUACCUUCGGAAACACCUGUAGAGCACCUUUAUAAUCACUCAGUUACGUUGUGACGUUUGGUAGCACACAAAGUGUUCUUCCGGUAAACGGGAGUUGCACAAUCUCAUAGUUGCAGGAACUUUGUAUAAGUCAUGAAGAAAGCAAUAGCAGUAUAUUAAAUGAUCAAGUGCUAGGCUAACAAAAUGGGUCAUGUCAAUCACAUCAUUCUCCUAAUGAUGUGAUCCCACUAAUCAAAUGACAACACAUGUCUAUGGUCAGGAAACAUAACCAUCUUUGAUUAAUGAGCUAGUCAAGUAGAGGCAUACUAGUGACUAUAGUUUUGUCUAUGUAUUCACACAUGUAUCAUGUUUCUGGUUAAUACAAUUGUAGCAUGAAUAAUAAACAUUUAUCAUGAUAUGAGGAAAUAAAUAAUAACUUUAUUAUUGCCCCUAGGGCAUAUUUCCUUCACUAACUUCUCGACCGGUCAUCCAUCCCUCUCACUACUCCAGCCCGAGCACGCUUAACUUUCAGGUUCUAUUCUCCUUCGUUUCCGAGUCUGCACUUGUUGUUUUCCUGACAAUAGUAAGAUGUCAAUCCUAUUAACCCUCAGGAGUUUAGCUUGAGCAUGAAGUCACACAUUUCACCGUUUGAGUUUGAAACUAUUAUUCUAAAAAAACAGUAAUUAUUUAGUAACGCUAAUAUUUCUUGAAUAAGUUUGACCAUAGUUUGACCAUAGUUUGACCAGAUUUGACCAAAAUUCAAAAAAUUGAAAUAAUUAUUUAGUAACACUAAUAUUCUUUGAAUAAUUAAGUAGUAACACUAAUAUUUCUUGAAUAAGUAGUUUGACCAUAGUUUGACCAAAGUUUGACCAGAUUUGACCAAAAUUCAAAAAAACUGAGAUACUUAUUUAGUAACACUAAUAUUAUUACGUAAUUAUUUAGUAACACUCUAUAUUUCUUGAAUCAGUUGUUUGACCGGUUUGACAAGAUUUAACCAAAAUUCAAAAAAACAUAAAUUAGAGCAUAUCUUUUUUUCCUUUUACAAUUUUGUCAUUUCAAAAAUUGUCCUAAACCCUAAACCCGGGACUUAAAACAUCGGAAUCUCUAUGCUAAAUAGUAAAAACUAAGGGUUUAAACCAUAAAACCUAACCCCAAACUCUGAAAUCUAAACCCUAGCACUAAACGCUAAAAACGUCUAAAAACGUCCAAAACGCCCAAAAACUCUAUUUUCCCUUUGGAAUUUUGUGAUUUUCAAAAAUUGUCGAAACGGAAAACUGGCUAGCCAAUCGAGCAGUUACCAGUUAACGAUUUCCUCAACAAUGGUUGUAAGAGAACUCCGCAUACGGUAGACUUUUAUCCCAACUAGUACCAUACUGCAAUGCACAAGCUCUCAACAUAUCUUCAAGAAUUUGAUUGAGCCUUUCUGUCUGUCCAUCAGUCUGAGCAUGAUAUGUUGUACUGAAAUUCAACUUCGUUCCCAAAGAUUUAUGCACUUUCUGCCAAAAGAUGGACGUGAACUGCGUACCUCUAUCAGACACAAUCUUCUUAGGAACUCCAUGCUGACAUACUAUUCUUUCCAUGUAUAGCUCUGCCAAUCUUGCCCCGCUAUAAGUAGUCUUGACAGGCAAAAAGUGAGCGACUUUAGUGAGACGAUCCACUAUUACCCAUAUAGAAUCAUAACCUUGUUGAGUGUGUGGUAAUCCCACUAUAAAGUCCAUUCCGACUUCUUCCCAUUUCCACUCAGGAAUCUUCAUUGGUUGCAACAAACUAGCGGGUCUCUGAUGCUCAGUCUUUACCCUCUGACAAGUGUCACAUAUAGCUACAUACUCAGCCACAUCUCUUUUCAAUCCAUACCAGCAGUAAUUCUCCUUAAGAUUUAGAUACAUCUUAGUACUUCCAGGAUGGAUAGAAUAGGCCAACUCAUGUGCUUCACGCAAAAUUGUAUCAUGAAUGGCUUUCACCUCAGGCACACAUAUCCUUUUCACAAAACAUAAGGUUCCAUUCUCAUCUAUUAUGAAGCCAGGUGCUUUACCAAUCACCACAUUCUCAGCUAUCUCCUUUAGCUUUUCAUCUUCUAGCCAACCCUUACGUAUUUCUUGCUCCAACGUAGGAAUCACUUUUAUCUCCAUAGCACUAGCAACAAUACCAAGAUUCAGAUGUUGCAACUCCGCAUACAACUCUUCUGCCUCUGGUCUCAACUUACGAUUGUUGUCAUAUUUCUUCCUACUAAGAGCAUCAGCUACAACAUUCGCCUUACCUGGAUGAUAAUGUACCUCCGGUUCAUAAUCCUUGAUUAACUCUAGCCCGCGAAGUUGUCUUAAAUUCAAACAUGUCUGAGUGAAUAUAUACUUCAAGCUCUUAUGAUCGGUGUAGAUAUCACUCUUGUGACCAAUCAGAUAGUGUCUCCAGAUCUUCAAUGCAUGCACCGCAGCUGCUAGCUCCAGAUCACGAGUAGGAUAAUUUAACUCAUGCUUCCUCAACUGUCUCGAUGCAUGCGUCGGUGGUGGUGACCUCAUGUCCGCUUGCACCGUGUUCGAUGAAACGCCAACGAGGGUCAAAAGCUUCAAACCGCAUCGGCAUCGCUCGGGUACACGCUGGAGUGCUGGAUGUGAUGCUUGGCCAUCUCCAACUCACGAGCGUGUAAGAGAGAAAUCAUGAGACAGUAAUGAUUUACUUUGGUUUUGCAAUGUUUUUAUUUUAAAAAUAGUUGGUUUAUCUUUGUAAAAUAGUUAUUUACAUGAGAAUUAUUGAACAAAAUAGUUUUUAAAGAGCAAUUUGCAUUCAAGCAGUCUUCAUUCUUAACGAAGCUACGAGUUCACAUUUGCUCUAACCAAAAGGUCUUCAGUUUUUGCCACCACAGGAGCCUUGUAUUAGCUCUUGCGGUGCGAACGGGAGCUCGGAUGUCCGUGCGACUAAGCUGAUCUAUGAAAGUGGCCUUGGUGAUCCUGUGCCCCGGUUGGUAGGUUGGGAGACAGCAGGGAUGCAAACCAGCGCCAACGAUGGGCGAAGAUUGCACGACGGAUGAGCGGCGCUAGAGAUGGAAAAUCUGCUGGAGCAGUUUAGGUGAAAGGAUAAAGAUGUAGUUUUCAUUUUUUUUUCUAAUAAUGAAAGUCAGACUCACUGUAAAGAUCGACGUGGGCUUAACUUUAUGGAACUGGGCCUUAUGACACGUAGGGCCCAUCUGAAGCUUCUAGAGGUGUUAAUCCUGUGGUUGAGAAUGUGUGUGACAAAGCCUGUGUUUGAAGGCAAGAAUCGCAGGGGUGAUUGGGAAGAACACUAAACAGGACAAUUUACAGUACAACAUGAGCAUCUCCAUUAAAAGGCAGCACUUUUCUUUAUCCAAUGUUAGUACUUAGCUAAAGUGAUGAUAACUUUUACUAUGUAUAGAUUGAUAACUUGAUUAAUUCAUGCAGUAUAACAUUCUUGUAGACUGAAAAAUGUACCUUUUUUGCAAUGCAUCUUCCAUUGUAUGAGAGAAUGAUUUUUGUGGUUAAUAAAGGUUCCUCUCUCCUUUAUUUUGUCUUUAUUUUUACAUGGUAGAACAGAAAAUCCGUGUUUAGUGUAGCAAGGGAAUGGGGUAUUUUUUUGGGUACUCUGUUUUGUUGCAUGAAGCUGGUAACAAAAACUACGGGGGGCUGGUAAUUUUUGCACUUAGUUGAUUGGUAACUCACUGCAAUAGGCAAAAUUAUGUUUUCUAGUGGUGAAAGGAUGGUAAUUUUUGCACAGAUUGGGAGGGGGGUCUGGUGGGCGUGGGGUAAGUCUUUGUAUUAAGCAGAAUUUUUUUGGAGAUCUUUGGAUGAGUCUUUGAUUCUUACCAGGGUGAGGUGAUGUUGCCUGGUGAUUUCCUCGCCGUAUCCCUGGUAAUUUCCAGCGCUCCCCUGAUGGAUCUGCUCUUGUUUGAUCCAGAUCUAGAGGAGGGGUAGGUCUUUGCUGUUGAUUUUGAGCAGCUNNNNNNNNNNNNNNNNNNNNNNNNNNNNNNNNNNNNNNNNNNNNNNNNNNNNNNNNNNNNNNNNNNNNNNNNNNNNNNNNNNNNNNNNNNNNNNNNNNNNNNNNNNNNNNNNNNNNNNNNNNNNNNNNNNNNNNNNNNNNNNNNNNNNNNNNNNNNNNNNNNNNNNNNNNNNNNNNNNNNNNNGAGGGUAUACUUGCGUGGAAGGUAGGGGGGGGGGGAAGUUGCGAUCUGGAAAUUGCUGUCGUGGGGGGAUGGCAUUUUCUGUUGGGCCUUGUACAGCGAUUGGCCUUGUUAGCUAACAGGGUGGUCGGCCUGUUUAGCUGGCGGGGUGGCGGGUGAUCGACAGGUAAGGUAAGUUUUCUAUCGGGCACACUGUUGCCAAAUAUCGCUGUCCAUAAACUAUAUGUCCAAUACUUGCACUCACGGGCAUUUUUGCUACUAUUAAUAAAUUGGUAAAAAUCAGAGAAUGCGAGGCCUGGCCAAAUGGGCCGGCCCGGCCUGGGUUAAACGGGCCCGAACCCCUCUUGCCCUCUCUCCUAUAAAAGCUGUGCUUUUACCCCCGCACUCCAUCGCCUCGCCGCCGUUCCCCGCAACACCCUGUCGACCCAAUCUCACAUCCUCCUCUCGCCCGCCCGAGGUGAGCACUUGUAGUUCCUCUGGAUUGGUUGGUAGGCGCUGGUUCGUAGGUCUCGGAUCCAGCCAGCGUGGUCUCCCUCCGCGUGCAUCCGGAGUUUCUCGUUCCGAUUGUGGUUGGUAGGCGCGGCGCGGCGCGGGUUCAUAGGUGUCGGAUCCAGCGCCGUCUGUAUCCUAUUCGUAUGUGGAACCUCGGCUAGGAUAGGAUUUAAUUAGUUAGGUUUUGUAUUAGGGUAACACCACCUAGGGUUCGAUUGAUUAUCCGUAACAAGGAAUCAAUCUGACGUUUUAGUUAGGGUUUGCUUGGUUGGUUGUGGUCAGAUUUUGGUUUCUCAUGAAUUCUUCAACUGUGCCUGUCGCGAUUUUGGGCGGAAAUUGAUGAUUGAUUUCGGGGGCAAAAUCCGAGGUAAUUUGUGGAUGAAAGAUGGGGAAACUUGGGGAAACCAAGCAAAUCCAUGGAUCAAAAUCAACAAAACUUCAUCAUGCCAACAAAUCACAAAAAAAAUUUGGUGGGGAAAUUUCGAAUUAGGACGAAAAACAACAAGAUCAAAGCUAGAAAACGAAUAUUAAUUUGGAUGGAAUUCAUGCUAUGUUGUUCGAUUUCAGUUUAUGCCUGCCAGAAUGUUUAAUUUUUUGUUUUAUCAACUGUGUUUGAGCGUACUAGAUUUUUUGUUGCAUAUUCAUCUUCUUGCUCUGUUUGGAUAGGUAACAAUUAAUAUUUGGGAUCCUAAAAUAUUUAUGCACUGGCAGCACUUAACCUGCAGCUGCUGAUUAAUGUUGUAUUCAUAUGUGCUGCUUUCCAGCUCUCUUGUUUCGAUAGGUAUUUGGUUAUCGUUUGGGUCUAUUUAUUAUCGUUUGUAAAUGCUGGUUUGGUUUUCUGUGCUCACUAUCCCCUUGCACAUGGGAUGCAAUUUUUUUAUUUCCCUGCUGUUUAGUUUAUUGUUUCCUUUGAUGGUAAAGAGGCAUUAAUUCUGGAGAUAGAUGCAAUUUUCUUGCUCACAAUAAUACAAUGAAUGAUGGCAUCUCUAUCUACUUUAACCAAAUUAUAUCAUAUUCCCCCCUCUGUUAAUUAUUUUUCUGUUUUGGGUAUUCAUUCAUUUUGUUUAGUUGCCUAUCAGUAUAAAUACAUGGCUGCAUUGCUUUCACUUCAUAUUAAUAACUAUUCUGUCGCACAAUGCAAAUAUACAUAUGCUGUCCUAACUAAUUAAGUAGAAGCUUGGAUUGGUGCUGUAUGGUCUCUUCCUGACAUUAAAUCCUCCUCUGUUUGUGCUGUCUGUUUCUGCUGCUGCAGUCUUCUUCGCCGCCAAAAGGAAAUGAUGCUCUACAAAAUCCGCUCCCAUGCCCAAAUCCAAGACCUGCAGGCCCGCUCCGAUGAGCUGGGCCUCUCCAAUAAGUCCAUGCUUGUGAGUCUUGUCUCUCUGGAGUCGGUGCGCAUAGCGUGGGAGUCGUAUGCGCUCCUCCGCCCGCUGAUCAAGGAGUCGUGGAUUUGGGUAUGCCCGCAGCUGGAAAUCCUCUCGGACGUGGCAGGCUUGUCGCUGGAAAUCCAAAAGCUCGAGCAUGAUGUGUUACCCCAGCUCAAGCUUCAGGAGGCUAAGCUGGAAAGGGGCGCCCUGGAAGCCCUCCUACUCAUGAAGAACUCAGCUGUUGCGCUCUUACAUUUGAGGAAGUGCUUUAAGGAAGACUUGGGCGUAUUGCUUGCCAAGGAGGAUCUGGUCUCAGCCAAAGUCAAAAGGCUGAGCAAAAUGCUAAAGUAUAUUGCUGUCCGGUUGCUUCAGGAGCGUGAAUGCAACAUUGUCGGGCUUCAGGAGCGUGUCCGGUUGCUGGUCCAGCUGGUCACCGAGGUGUUGAACACCCCGGUUCAUUUCGAUGAUUCUGAUGAGUCUUCUGAUGAGUCUUCUGAUGAGUAGACUUAUCAGCCAGCUCGAGACUGUUGUGAUGAGUGUUUCUUAGGGGCGUGGCAAACAGUUUAGAAUCGAAUGUUGCGAUGUAUUUCUUGUAACCUCCUUUAUGUUUGGAUGUGUUAUUAAUGGAUUUUAAAUUUUAUGUAUUUUGGGUAGUGUUUUCUCAUUCUGUGCUAGUAGGUACAGUCACAUGGAGGUAUUCGCUCUUUUUGGGGAAUAUAUGCCAAAAGAAUAUACUCCCUCCGUUCUUAAAUAUUUGUCUUUCUAGAGAUUUUAAUAAAUGACUACAUACAGAGCAAAAUGAGUGAAUCUACACUUUAAAAUAUGUCUACAUACAUCCGUAUGUUGAGUACAUUUGAAAUGCCUAGAAAGACAAUUAUUUCGGUGUUGAGUACAUUUGAGAUGCCUAGAAAGACAAUUAUUUCGGAACGGAGGGAGUAGUAUCUUAGAAAAGGCAUACUUUAGAAAGGCAUACUUUAGAACAUGGAUGGAUUCACUCAUUUUGCUCUGUAUGUAGUUUGGAUGAAUAUAGACAUACUUUAGAACGUGGAUUCUAAAGUAUGUAGUUUCCUAGUGAAAUCUCUUAAAAGACUUGGGCCCUGUUUGUUUAAGAAGUCCUAGGACUUUUUUUAGUCUAAGUAAAAAGUCUCUAGUCCCUAUCUAUUUGUUUUAAGGAACUAAACAUAAACUAGAGGAUAAUAAAUGACAUGUUAAAAGACCAUGUUGCCCCUAAACAUGGACUAGAGGGUAAUAAACUAGCAGUUGCGGGAGCAGACCAGGGAAAAGUCUUAAAAAGACUCUCAUAUAGGGUCUUUCUCUUUUUAGUCUCAAAUGCCUAGUUUAGCCCCUAAAAGUCCCUCCCGUUUGAUUAAAAAGUGACUUUUUCUAGUCCCUACACAAAGUCCCUGGGAAAAAACACCCACUUAUAUUUAGAAACCGAGGGAGUCCCUACACAAAGUCCCUGGAAACAAACACCCACUUAUAUUUAGGAACCGAGGGAGUAGUGCUUAUCUGUGAGUGUCCAUGAUUAAAGCUUUGCAAAUACCAUAAACAAAACUUCACCCUGUACUUAGCUGAAUUGAAUUGAAAUGUGAUUAGCCUUCCACUAGCCAGCCAAGGAGGAAGGAGCCCACCGUUCCAACCUCCCUAUCUCUAUUUCCUCUUGUUGCGCUCAUCUUCCCCUUCUCCUGACACGUAAAUCUAGUUGAGGACUGCGGCAGAUCUAGUUGCGUUGGUCACCGCGCAACAACCCUAGCCACGACGAGCUCCACCACCGUGCGGUCCGGGAGCCGCGCCGCAGUCCUCAACUAAACUAGGCUGCUCCACCUUGCCGUCACCAGCCCCUUCUCCGCCCACCUCCCCCUUCUCUUGACACGUAGAUCUAGUUGCGUCAGUCGCCGCGCAACAACCCUAGCCACGAUGAGCUCCACCACCGUGCGGUCCGGGCGCCGCGCCACACUCCUCAACUAAACUAGGCUGCUCCACCAUGCCNNNNNNNNNNNNNNNNNNNNNNNNNNNNNNNNNNNNNNNNNNNNNNNNNNNNNNNNNNNNNNNNNNNNNNNNNNNNNNNNNNNNNNNNNNNNNNNNNNNNNNNNNNNNNNNNNNNNNNNNNNNNNNNNNNNNNNNNNNNNNNNNNNNNNNNNNNNNNNNNNNNNNNNNNNNNNNNNNNNNNNNNNNNNNNNNNNNNNNNNNNNNNNNNNNNNNNNNNNNNNNNNNNNNNNNNNNNNNNNNNNNNNNNNNNNNNNNNNNNNNNNNNNNNNNNNNNNNNNNNNNNNNNNNNNNNNNNNNNNNNNNNNAUCUAGUUGUGCCGGUCGUCGCGCAACAAGCCUAGCCACGACGAGCUCCACCACCGUGCGGUCUGGGAGCCGCGCUGCAGUCCUCAACUAAACUAGGCUGCUCCACCUUGCCGUCACCGGCCCUUUCUCCGCCCACCUCCCCCUUCUCCUAACAUGCCCAAAACCCUCUCGAUCUUAAAAGCCCCGUAUCUUUUAUCCUGUUAGGUUUUUGGGGAUUCUAAAAAUCUUCAACGAGGUUCCCCUAGUUGAAUUCGGAUGUAACUUUUCGAGUAGAUGACUUUUCAUAUAAAAAACUUUUUAAUCCGAGUUCGUAUGCAAAGUUAUGCCCAUUUUACUAAAUUCCAGAGAGAUUUUGUAAAUAAAGUCGAAAUUCAUAUUUAUAAAUUUUCCCAACAACUAGACCACAUAUCACACGGGAAACUUCUUUUCUUUUAUUUUUUGAACAUUUCCAUCAUUUUCUUUUAUUUUUUUAAAACUGAAAAGGCGGUCCACAAGGGGGGUGCAUUUAGUAAUGAUGCACCUUCACAAAGUGCGCCAUUACUAUGUGUAUGACUUGGUCAAACCUUGGUCAAAGUUAGUAAUGACGCAAACUUAGUAAUGGCGCACCUAUGCAAAGUGCGCCAUUACUAAGUUUGACCAAGGUUUGACCCAGUCAUACACACAGUAUCAAACCUUGGUCAAACUUAGUAAUGGCGCACUUUUCACCUAGUGCGUCAUUACUGUUUUGGUUACUAAUGGCGUACCUACACAUGACGCGCCAGAUGUAUAGUGUGUCAUUAGUGUCCAUAUUGGCUAUAGCUAUUUUUCUAGUAGUGUGCUAUAUGCCUAGACUCAUUGCAGCCUCGUCGAUCAAACUAAGCUGCCAUCCAGAGGCUACAGAUUCAAGUACACAGGUAGGAAGAACAUAUUGCAGAGAAUCAAAUUAAGCAAGUGGCAAGUAAUGAUGAAUGAAAUUCAGCAAUCUUACCCUAAACAUAGCUACGGCCGCCGUUCAGACAAGGAGAACGGCGAGGGAAGCGUGGAGAACGGCGGGGAAGCGAUGUCGCGACCAUUGUCCUCCUCCUCUUGCGCUUCGGAGUCAUCUUCGACUCGGUUGGAGGCUCCACAAUCUGCAACGGCACCUCGUGCACCGUGGGUUCCUGAUCUAGUGGAUUCUUUACCUUGGAUCAGAACGCUCACCACCUUCGUCUGGUCCACGGGCUGGACGAAUCGGCAUGCUCCAUCGCCCAGAGGAGGAUCUCGACGAAGUGCAUCGGUUGUGCGGGUGAGGGGGGGGAAGCUUUGCCUUCUCUCUACUCAUCAUUUGCUUCAAAGUGGCCAUUGUCGUCCAGUGCAUCUGACUUGUGUUGUGAAACCAAGAACGGAUCUCCGUCAACCUUCUCAUCUUGAUCUGGUCGCCGUAGGCGAUCUCCAUGAAGUCGGCGUUCUCGCCGCCGGCGAUCUGCUCGAUCUGCUGCACCAUCGAAGUUUUUGCGUGGAUGGAAGAGGGGGAUGGAUGUGGAAGCUGGGAAGAGCAAAGUUGCGGCCGCGAAAAGGAGGAGAAGGCUAGGAGAUGGCCGCGGUUGUAAUGGUGAUGGAAGAGGAGAAGUUUCACGGCGGUGGCCAUUUUCAUUGGACGAGAGGGGCAGCGGUUUUGCAUUGGACGAGAGGGCCACCUUAUCAUAUUUUCCUAGGACUAAAAUGCCCCUAGAUUAAAAGGUGUCCCCACCUUAUCAUCAGUACUUUCGAGUACUUUCAUCCGCGUACUUUCGAGUACCACGUAUGUAUGCACUGUUAGAUCGAGGCAAGCGAACGGCUCCAAAAAACGCCAACUACUGUAAAAGUUGUACUGAAGUAAUUAUCAUAUCUCACACUAGUGCAGAACCGGCCUUUAGUGCCGGUUCGUGACGGUCUUUAGUGCCGGUUCACCAACCGGUACUAAAGAGUGGGGACUAAAGGUCUCCCCUUCAGUACCGGUUCGUCACGAACCGGCGCUAAAGUGCAAACACGUGGCACGAGCCAGGCCCGGGUGCGCGUAGGGCUUUAGUACCGGUUGGUAACACCAACCGGUACUAAAUGUUUGGGUGUUUUUUUUAAUUUUUUCUUUAAUUUUGUGUUUUCAAUUUAAUUUAGUGAUUGUUUUACAUUAUAAUGAGUUGUUAAAUCAUUAGGUGAAAGUACCGCGGAUUAGUUUCGACUGGAUGCAUUUGGAUCUAGCUAGCUAAGUGAAUAAGUAUAUGCCAUAUCCAUAUUAUACUUGAUCACCUAAUUAGGUGAUCAAGUAUAAUAUAUAUGGAUAUGGCAUAUAUAUACUUGAUUACUUAGGUAGGAUCCAUCCAGCUGAAACUAAUCUGUGGUCUUUCAUUAAAUGAUAUAAUAACUCAUCAUCAUCAUUAUCAUAUUAAUAUAAAAACUCUUACAUCAUAUCAUCAACAUGAGUAUAUAUAUAUACUCUAGCUAGCUAGCUAAAAAUCAUCAUAGUCGUCAUUAUCACUAUUUAAUCAUCAUAGUUAUUACCGCUAUCUAAUCACCACCAAUAGUAGCUUAAAGAAGAAACAUUCACUUGUACCAGAAGCAAAAAUAUCAUCGAGUUCAACAUGAUUGUCAUGAUAUUAUAAGCGUUCAUAUAUAACACCACAAAAGCAAAUCACUCUUUGAGAUUAAGUUCAAAACGAAGAACACGAACAUGAAAGGACAAGUACUAAGAGCAGCAUGAACUAGCUAAAUCACUCCUGCUAGCUACUCUCUCUCUGGUAAAAUAGCAUAGAACAUGUAUAGCUCUCCUGAUUCAUUAUACUGGAGCAUGCAGAUGAGCCUGUCUCCUAAUCGUGGGCUGCGCUUCUCAUUGCUGCCCCCUAGUACUUCUCUGCGAUCGUUAACAAUUUUCCUCCAAUCUUUCACUAUUAAGCAUUCAUCGCUUGUAGAAAUCUUGAAUGCAUUCAUAUGCAAUGCAGGAUAUCUUGGCCGUAAGCUAACAAUUGACAUGCGACCUUUAGUCUCGAUCACCUGAGGCACAACUGUCAUCGGGAGUACCUGUUGAAGAACAUCGUAUAGUACUUAAUUAAUAUACUUAGUAAUGAAAGUUUAGCAAAAAAAUUAUGUAUGCAAAAGAUGCACUAAGGACAAAUAGUAAAAAUCUUACCAUCAUUCCUAAAUAGAUGUGACCGUAGUUCAAUACCAUCACUAUUGGUCGCACGUUUUGAGUACUAACAUUUCUAAGUGCAGGAAGAAAAUUUGUCUUGACAGUAUGAAGAUCCUCAAGCCAUGAAACAUAAUGACUUAUCUCCUCGCAGUUUAGUUCAACUCCGGGACAGUAGUAGGUCCUGUCUACCAAGCGUCGGACAUGUUUGCUUGAAUGAAAAUAAGCUGUCAAUAGAAAUUAGUUGUCAAUUAUUUUUGAAUAAGCAAUAUCAAAGACAAAAUUAAGUGCCCGUUUAACUGAUGAGUUCUCGUCCGAAACCGCUGAAGACUCAUAUUGAGUCCACAAAUUAUACACAUAGAGUUUAAUGAAGACCAAAUGCUUGUGAUAGUUUGAAAAAUAACAUAUUUAAAUUGUGCAUCUGAACGUAGAAAAAAUACAUUGAUCAGUACCGCCUUUCAGCCAAAACGCGCUACUGCUACAGAGAAGUACAUAUAAAAAAAUACAUUGAUCAUCAAUGAUCUUUUUGUAUAGAAUCUAAAUCGUCAAUAGGAAUCUACCACCGAUUUAAGAACCGGCGAAGACUCCUAUUGCAGCCACAGAUCCUACACAUAGAGUUCAAUGAAGACCAAAUGCUUGUGAUAGUUUGAGAAGUAACAUAUUUAAGGUGGUCAAAUUCUUGUUAGGGGAGCGAGGUGGGACUAAAAAUAGCGCGUGCCACAACCUCUUUAGUACCGGUUCGUGCCACGAACCGGUACUAAAGAUGCUGAUGCCCGGCCAGCACCUUUAGUACCGGUUCGUGGCACGAACCGGUACUAAAGAUUCACAAUGAACCGGUACUAAAGGUCUCCUCCCGCCUAGUCAUUUGAACCGACACUAAUGGACGCAUUAGUGCCGGCUCAUAUGCAAACCGGUACUAAUGUUUUUCAUAUUUGACCCUUUUUCUACUAGUGUCAUGUUCAUGAACCCUUUUGUCCCAAAAUAAGUGUCAUGGUUUUAGUUUUAAAUUUAAACUAAAAGCACGACACUUAUCAGGGAGUAUAGUACGUAGUUAGUACAGAAUAUUUACCCGCAAUAUAAGCGUUAGCAAAGCUUUCUCUUCUUGUGCUUGGAGGUUUUAGUACAUGCGCUCACCAGCCUCUUCUUAUAGGCAGACAGGUGCGCUACCUUGUCAGUGAGAGUAGAAGAGUGGGCGGCGAGCUUGGACAUCAAAUCCUUCAACAGAGCAGGGCAGCUUCUGGAGACAUGAUCGAUCGAAGUCGUGUGUCGAUCGCCAUGGCCUCGUCUAGUUUUUUUUUUUGAGGGGGAGGCCUCGUCUAGUUUGGUGGGAGAGUUGAUGAGCAAGUCAAAGCACGCGUCCUNNNNNNNNNNNNNNNNNNNNNNNNNNNNNNNNNNNNNNNNNNNNNNNNNNNNNNNNNNNNNNNNNNNNNNNNNNNNNNNNNNNNNNNNNNNNNNNNNNNNNNNNNNNNNNNNNNNNNNNNNNNNNNNNNNNNNNNNNNNNNNNNNNNNNNNNNNNNNNNNNNNNNNNNNNNNNNNNNNNNNNNNNNNNNNNNNNNNNNNNNNNNNNNNNNNNNNNNNNNNNNNNNNNNNNNNNNNNNNNNNNNNNNNNNNNNNNNNNNNNNNNNNNNNNNNNNNNNNNNNNNNNNNNNNNNNNNNNNNNNNNNNNNNNNNNNNNNNNNNNNNNNNNNNNNNNNNNNNNNNNNNNNNNNNNNNNNNNNNNNNNNNNNNNNNNNNNNNNNNNNNNNNNNNNNNNNNNNNNNNNNNNNNNNNNAGGUGGCGGCCGGGCGUUUUUGCUGGUUCUCGCGCGCGCUCGAGGAGGGGUGUUGACUCGCGGUGGAUCUGGGGGCUGAGCUCGGGUCGGGCGGCGGCGUUUGGCCCGUCAGCGCGGAGAUGGUGGCCCGCCGGUCGGUGCAGAGGCGGCGUCUCGCAGGUGCUGCUGC
rnacentral:lncRNA from 1 species